rnacentral:lncRNA from 1 species
GUUAGGGUUGGAGUUAGGGUUAGUGUUGGAGCUAGGGUUAGGGUUGGGCUUGGAGCUAGGAUUUUUCUGAGUGCAAUGAACCAACUCCCGAGUCUCUAGGACGUUCCUAAAAAAAUUUGAUUUUUUCCCAUAGGAAUGCAUGGGUCAGGGUUAGGGUUAGGGUUGGAGCUAGGGUUAGGGUUAGGGUUAGGGUUGGAGUUAGGGUUAGUGUUGGAGCUAGGGUUAGGGUUGGGCUUGGAGCUAGGAUUUUUCUGAGUGCACUGAACCAACUCCCGAGUCUCUAGGACAUUCCUAAAAAAUUUGAUUUUUUCCCAUAGGAAUGCAUGGGUUAGGGUUAGGGUUAGGGUUGGAGCUAGGGUUAGGGUUAGGGUUAGGGUUGGAGUUAGGGUUAGUGUUGGAGCUAGGGUUAGGGUUGGGCUUGGAGCUAGGAUUUUUCUGAGUGCAAUGAACCAACUCCCGAGUCUCUAGGACGUUCCUAAAAAAAUUUGAUUUUUUCCCAUAGGAAUGCAUGGGUUAGGGUUAGGGUUAGGGUUGGAGCUAGGGUUAGGGUUAGGGUUAGGGUUAGGGUUGGAGUUAGGGUUAGUGUUGGAGCUAGGGUUAGGGUUGGGCUUGGAGCUAGGAUUUUUCUGAGUGCACUGAACCAACUCCCGAGUCUCUAGGACAUUCCUAAAAAAAUUUGAUUUUUUCCCAUAGGAAUGCAUGGGUUAGGGUUAGGGUUAGGGUUGGAGCUAGGGUUAGGGUUAGGGUUAGGGUUGGAGUUAGGGUUAGUGUUGGAGCUAGGUUUAGGGUUGGGCUUGGAGCUAGGAUUUUUCUGAGUGCACUGAACCAACUCCCGAGUCUCUAGGACAUUCCUAAAAAAAUUUGAUUUUUUCCCAUAGGAAUGCAUGGGUUAGGGUUAGGGUUAGGGUUGGAGCUAGGGUUAGGGUUAGGGUUAGGGUUGGAGUUAGGGUUAGUGUUGGAGCUAGGGUUAGGGUUGGGCUUGGAGCUAGGAUUUUUCUGAGUGCAAUGAACCAACUCCCGAGUCUCUAGGACGUUCCUAAAAAAAUUUGAUUUUUUCCCAUAGGAAUGCAUGGGUUAUGGUUAGGGUUAGGGUUGGAGCUAGGGUUAGGGUUAGGGUUAGGGUUAGGGUUGGAGUUAGGGUUAGUGUUGGGGCUAGGGUUAGGGUUGGGCUUGGAGCUAGGAUUUUUCUGAGUGCAAUGAACCAACUCCCGAGUCUCUAGGACGUUCCUAAAAAAAUUUGAUUUUUUCCCAUAGGAAUGCAUGGGUUAGGGUUAGGGUUAGGGUUGGAGCUAGGGUUAGGGUUAGGGUUAGGGUUGGAGAUAGGGUUAGUGUUGGAGCUAGGGUUAGGGUUGGGCUUGGAGCUAGGAUUUUUCUGAGUGCAAUGAACCAACUCCCGAGUCUCUAGGACGUUCCUAAAAAAAUUUGUUUUUUUCCCAUAGGAAUGCAUGGGUCAGGGUUAGGGUUAGGGUUGGAGCUAGGGUUAGGGUUAGGGUUAGGGUUGGAGUUAGGGUUAGUGUUGGAGCUAGGGUUAGGGUUGGGCUUGGAGCUAGGAUUUUUCUGAGUGCACUGAACCAACUCCCGAGUCUCUAGGACAUUCCUAAAAAAAUUUGAUUUUUUCCCAUAGGAAUGCAUGGGUUAGGGUUAGGGUUAGGGUUGGAGCUAGGGUUAGGGUUAGGGUUAGGGUUGGAGUUAGGGUUAGUGUUGGAGCUAGGGUUAGGGUUGGGCUUGGAGCUAGGAUUUUUCUGAGUGCACUGAACCAACUCCCGAGUCUCUAGGACAUUCCUAAAAAAAUUUGAUUUUUUCCCAUAGGAAUGCAUGGGUUAGGGUUAUGGUUAGGGUUAGGGUUGGAGCUAGGGUUAGGGUUAGGGUUAGGGUUGGAGUUAGGGUUGGUGUUGGAGCUAGGGUUAGGGUUGGGCUUUGAGCUAGGACUUUUCUGAGUGCAAUGAACCAACUCCCGAGUCUCUAGGACGUUCCCUAAAAAAAUUUGAUUUUUUCCCAUAGGAAUGCAUGGGUUAGGGUUAGGGUUAGGGUUAGGGUUGGAGCUAGGGUUAGGGUUAGGGUUAGGGUUGGAGUUAGGGUUAGUGUUGGAGCUAGGGUUAGGGUUGGGCUUGGAGCUAGGAUUUUUCUGAGUGCAAUGAACCAACUCCCGAGUCUCUAGGACGUUCCAAAAAAAAUUUGAUUUUUUCCCAUAGGAAUGCAUGGGUUAGGGUUAUGGUUAGGGUUAGGGUUGGAGCUAGGGUUAGGGUUAGGGUUAGGGUUGGAGUUAGGGUUAGUGUUGGAGCUAGGGUUAGGGUUGGGCUUGGAGCUAGGAUUUUUCUGAGUGCAAUGAACCAACUCCCGAGUCUCUAGGACGUUCCUAAAAAAAUUUGAUUUUUUCCCAUAGGAAUGCAUGGGUUAGGGUUAGGGUUAGGGUUGGAGCUAGGGUUAGGGUUAGGGUUAGGGUUGGAGAUAGGGUUAGUGUUGGAGCUAGGGUUAGGGUUGGGCUUGGAGCUAGGAUUUUUCUGAGUGCAAUGAACCAACUCCCGAGUCUCUAGGACGUUCCUAAAAAAAUUUGAUUUUUUCCCAUAGGAAUGCAUGGGUCAGGGUUAGGGUUAGGGUUGGAGCUAGGGUUAGGGUUAGGGUUAGGGUUGGAGUUAGGGUUAGUGUUGGAGCUAGGGUUAGGGUUGGGCUUGGAGCUAGGAUUUUUCUGAGUGCACUGAACCAACUCCCGAGUCUCUAGGACAUUCCUAAAAAAAUUUGAUUUUUUCCCAUAGGAAUGCAUGGGUUAGGGUUAGGGUUAGGGUUGGAGCUAGGGUUAGGGUUAGGGUUAGGGUUGGAGUUAGGGUUAGUGUUGGAGCUAGGGUUAGGGUUGGGCUUGGAGCUAGGAUUUUUCUGAGUGCACUGAACCAACUCCCGAGUCUCUAGGACAUUCCUAAAAAAAUUUGAUUUUUUCCCAUAGGAAUGCAUGGGUUAGGGUUAUGGUUAGGGUUAGGGUUGGAGCUAGGGUUAGGGUUAGGGUUAGGGUUGGAGUUAGGGUUGGUGUUGGAGCUAGGGUUAGGGUUGGGCUUUGGAGCUAGGACUUUUCUGAGUGCAAUGAACCAACUCCCGAGUCUCUAGGACGUUCCCUAAAAAAAUUUGAUUUUUUCCCAUAGGAAUGCAUGGGUUAGGGUUAGGGUUAGGGUUAGGGUUGGAGCUAGGGUUAGGGUUAGGGUUAGGGUUGGAGUUAGGGUUAGGGUUAGGGUUAGGGUUGGAGUUAGGGUUAGUGUUGGAGCUAGGGUUAGGGUUGGGCUUGGAGCUAGGAUUUUUCUGAGUGCAAUGAACCAACUCCCGAGUCUCUAGGACAUUCCUAAAAAAAAUUGAUUUUUUCCCAUAGGAAUGCAUGGGUUAGGGUUAUGGUUAGGGUUAGGGUUGGAGCAAGGGUUAGGGUUAGGGUUAGGGUUGGAGUUAGGGUUAGUGUUGGAGCUAGGGUUAGGGUUGGGCUUGGAGCUAGGACUUUUCUGAGUGCAAUGAACCAACUCCCGAGUCUCUAGGACGUUCCCUAAAAAAAUUUGAUUUUUUCCCAUAGGAAUGCAUGGGUUAGGGUUAGGGUUAGGGUUGGAGCUAGGGUUAGGGUUAGGGUUAGGGUUGGAGUUAGGGUUAGUGUUGGAGCUAGGGUUAGGGUUGGGCUUGGAGCUAGGAUUUUUCUGAGUGCAAUGAACCAACUCCCGAGUCUCUAGGACGUUCCUAAAAAAUUUUGAUUUUUUCCCAUAGGAAUGCAUGGGUUAGGGUUAGGGUUAGGGUUAGGGUUGGAGCUAGGGUUAGGGUUAGGGUUAGGGUUGGAGUUAGGGUUAGUGUUGGAGCUAGGGUUAGGGUUGGGCUUGGAGCUAGGAUUUUUCUGAGUGCAAUGAACCAACUCCCGAGUCUCUAGGACGUUCCAAAAAAAAUUUGAUUUUUUCCCAUAGGAAUGCAUGGGUUAGGGUUAGGGUUAGGGUUGGAGCUAGGGUUAGGGUUAGGGUUAGGGUUGGAGUUAAGGUUAGUGUUGGAGCUAGGGUUAGGGUUUGGCUUGGAGCUAGGAUUUUUCUGAGUGCAGUGAACCAACUCCCGAGUCUCUAGGACGUUCCUAAAAAAAUUUGAUUUUUUCCCAUAGGAAUGCAUGGGUUAGGGUUAUGGUUAGGGUUAGGGUUGGAGCUAGGGUUAGGGUUAGGGUUAGGGUUGGAGUUAGGGUUAGUGUUGGAGCUAGGGUUAGGGUUGGGCUUGGAGCUAGGAUUUUUCUGAGUGCAAUGAACCAACUCCCGAGUCUCUAGGACGUUCCUAAAAAAAUUUGAUUUUUUCCCAUAGGAAUGCAUGGGUUAGGGUUAUGGUUAGGGUUAGGGUUGGAGCUAGGGUUAGGGUUAGGGUUAGGGUUAGGGUUGGAGUUAGGGUUAGUGUUGGAGCUAGGGUUAGGGUUGGGCUUGGAGCUAGGAUUUUUCUGAGUGCAAUGAACCAACUCCCGAGUCUCUAGGACGUUCCUAAAAAAAUUUGAUUUUUUCCCAUAGGAAUGCAUGGGUCAGGGUUAGGGUUAGGGUUGGAGCUAGGGUUAGGGUUAGGGUUAGGGUUGGAGUUAGGGUUAGUGUUGGAGCUAGGGUUAGGGUUGGGCUUGGAGCUAGGAUUUUUCUGAGUGCACUGAACCAACUCCCGAGUCUCUAGGACAUUCCUAAAAAAAUUUGAUUUUUUCCCAUAGGAAUGCAUGGGUUAGGGUUAGGGUUAGGGUUGGAGCUAGGGUUGGGGUUAGGGUUAGGGUUGGAGUUAGGGUUAGUGUUGGAGCUAGGGUUAGGGUUGGGCUUGGAGCUAGGAUUUUUCUGAGUGCAAUGAACCAACUCCCGAGUCUCUAGGACGUUCCUAAAAAAAUUUGAUUUUUUCCCAUAGGAAUGCAUGGGUUAGGGUUAGGGUUAGGGUUGGAGCUAGGGUUAGGGUUAGGGUUAGGGUUAGGGUUGGAGUUAGGGUUAGUGUUGGAGCUAGGGUUAGGGUUGGGCUUGGAGCUAGGAUUUUUCUGAGUGCACUGAACCAACUCCCGAGUCUCUAGGACAUUCCUAAAAAAAUUUGAUUUUUUCCCAUAGGAAUGCAUGGGUUAGGGUUAGGGUUAGGGUUGGAGCUAGGGUUAGGGUUAGGGUUAGGGUUGGAGUUAGGGUUAGUGUUGGAGCUAGGUUUAGGGUUGGGCUUGGAGCUAGGAUUUUUCUGAGUGCACUGAACCAACUCCCGAGUCUCUAGGACAUUCCUAAAAAAAUUUGAUUUUUUCCCAUAGGAAUGCAUGGGUUAGGGUUAGGGUUAGGGUUGGAGCUAGGGUUAGGGUUAGGGUUAGGGUUGGAGUUAGGGUUAGUGUUGGAGCUAGGGUUAGGGUUGGGCUUGGAGCUAGGAUUUUUCUGAGUGCAAUGAACCAACUCCCGAGUCUCUAGGACGUUCCUAAAAAAAUUUGAUUUUUUCCCAUAGGAAUGCAUGGGUUAUGGUUAGGGUUAGGGUUGGAGCUAGGGUUAGGGUUAGGGUUAGGGUUAGGGUUGGAGUUAGGGUUAGUGUUGGGGCUAGGGUUAGGGUUGGGCUUGGAGCUAGGAUUUUUCUGAGUGCAAUGAACCAACUCCCGAGUCUCUAGGACGUUCCUAAAAAAAUUUGAUUUUUUCCCAUAGGAAUGCAUGGGUUAGGGUUAGGGUUAGGGUUGGAGCUAGGGUUAGGGUUAGGGUUAGGGUUGGAGAUAGGGUUAGUGUUGGAGCUAGGGUUAGGGUUGGGCUUGGAGCUAGGAUUUUUCUGAGUGCAAUGAACCAACUCCCGAGUCUCUAGGACGUUCCUAAAAAAAUUUGUUUUUUUCCCAUAGGAAUGCAUGGGUCAGGGUUAGGGUUAGGGUUGGAGCUAGGGUUAGGGUUAGGGUUAGGGUUGGAGUUAGGGUUAGUGUUGGAGCUAGGGUUAGGGUUGGGCUUGGAGCUAGGAUUUUUCUGAGUGCACUGAACCAACUCCCGAGUCUCUAGGACAUUCCUAAAAAAAUUUGAUUUUUUCCCAUAGGAAUGCAUGGGUUAGGGUUAGGGUUAGGGUUGGAGCUAGGGUUAGGGUUAGGGUUAGGGUUGGAGUUAGGGUUAGUGUUGGAGCUAGGGUUAGGGUUGGGCUUGGAGCUAGGAUUUUUCUGAGUGCACUGAACCAACUCCCGAGUCUCUAGGACAUUCCUAAAAAAAUUUGAUUUUUUCCCAUAGGAAUGCAUGGGUUAGGGUUAUGGUUAGGGUUAGGGUUGGAGCUAGGGUUAGGGUUAGGGUUAGGGUUGGAGUUAGGGUUGGUGUUGGAGCUAGGGUUAGGGUUGGGCUUUGAGCUAGGACUUUUCUGAGUGCAAUGAACCAACUCCCGAGUCUCUAGGACGUUCCCUAAAAAAAUUUGAUUUUUUCCCAUAGGAAUGCAUGGGUUAGGGUUAGGGUUAGGGUUAGGGUUGGAGCUAGGGUUAGGGUUAGGGUUAGGGUUGGAGUUAGGGUUAGUGUUGGAGCUAGGGUUAGGGUUGGGCUUGGAGCUAGGAUUUUUCUGAGUGCAAUGAACCAACUCCCGAGUCUCUAGGACGUUCCAAAAAAAAUUUGAUUUUUUCCCAUAGGAAUGCAUGGGUUAGGGUUAUGGUUAGGGUUAGGGUUGGAGCUAGGGUUAGGGUUAGGGUUAGGGUUGGAGUUAGGGUUAGUGUUGGCGCUAGGGUUAGGGUUGGGCUUGGAGCUAGGAUUUUUCUGAGUGCAAUGAACCAACUCCCGAGUCUCUAGGACGUUCCUAAAAAAAUUUGAUUUUUUCCCAUAGGAAUGCAUGGGUUAGGGUUAGGGUUAGGGUUGGAGCUAGGGUUAGGGUUAGGGUUAGGGUUGGAGAUAGGGUUAGUGUUGGAGCUAGGGUUAGGGUUGGGCUUGGAGCUAGGAUUUUUCUGAGUGCAAUGAACCAACUCCCGAGUCUCUAGGACGUUCCUAAAAAAAUUUGAUUUUUUCCCAUAGGAAUGCAUGGGUCAGGGUUAGGGUUAGGGUUGGAGCUAGGGUUAGGGUUAGGGUUAGGGUUGGAGUUAGGGUUAGUGUUGGAGCUAGGGUUAGGGUUGGGCUUGGAGCUAGGAUUUUUCUGAGUGCACUGAACCAACUCCCGAGUCUCUAGGACAUUCCUAAAAAAAUUUGAUUUUUUCCCAUAGGAAUGCAUGGGUUAGGGUUAGGGUUAGGGUUGGAGCUAGGGUUAGGGUUAGGGUUAGGGUUGGAGUUAGGGUUAGUGUUGGAGCUAGGGUUAGGGUUGGGCUUGGAGCUAGGAUUUUUCUGAGUGCACUGAACCAACUCCCGAGUCUCUAGGACAUUCCUAAAAAAAUUAGAUUUUUUCCCAUAGGAAUGCAUGGGUUAGGGUUAUGGUUAGGGUUAGGGUUGGAGCUAGGGUUAGGGUUAGGGUUAGGGUUGGAGUUAGGGUUGGUGUUGGAGCUAGGGUUAGGGUUGGGCUUUGAGCUAGGACUUUUCUGAGUGCAAUGAACCAACUCCCGAGUCUCUAGGACGUUCCCUAAAAAAAUUUGAUUUUUUCCCAUAGGAAUGCAUGGGUUAGGGUUAGGGUUAGGGUUAGGGUUGGAGCUAGGGUUAGGGUUAGGGUUAGGGUUAGAGUUAGGGUUAGUGUUGGAGCUAGGGUUAGGGUUGGGCUUGGAGCUAGGAUUUUUCUGAGUGCACUGAACCAACUCCCGAGUCUCUAGGACAUUCCUAAAAAAAAUUGACUUUUUCCCAUAGGAAUGCAUGGGUUAGGGUUAGGGUUAGGGUUAGGGUUGGAGCUAGGGUUAGGGUUAGGGUUAGGGUUGGAGUUAGGGUUAGUGUUGGAGCUAGGGUUAGGGUUGGGCUUGGAGCUAGGACUUUUCUGAGUGCAAUGAACCAACUCCCGAGUCUCUAGGACGUUCCCUAAAAAAAUUUGAUUUUUUCCCAUAGGAAUGCAUGGGUUAGGGUUAGGUGUGGGGUUGGAGCUAGGGUUAGGGUUAGGGUUAGGGUUGGAGUUAGGGUUAGUGUUGGAGCUAGGGUUAGGUUUGGGCUUGGAGCUAGGAUUUUUCUGAGUGCAAUGAACCAACUCCCGAGUCUCUAGGACGUUCCUAAAAAAUUUUGAUUUUUUCCCAUAGGAAUGCAUGGGUUAGGGUUAGGGUUAGGGUUGGAGCUAGGGUUAGGGUUAGGGUUAGGGUUGGAGUUAGGGUUAGUGUUGGAGCUAGGGUUAGGGUUGGGCUUGGAGCUAGGAUUUUUCUGAGUGCAAUGAACCAACUCCCGAGUCUCUAGGAAGUUCCUAAAAAAAUUUGAUUUUUUCCCAUAGGAAUGCAUGGGUUAGGGUUAGGGUUAGGGUUGGAGCUAGGGUUAGGGUUAGGGUUAGGGUUGGAGUUAGGGUUAGUGUUGGAGCGAGGGUUAGGGUUGGGCUUGGAGCUAGGAUUUUUCUGAGUGCAAUGAACCAACUCCCGAGUCUCUAGGACGUUCCUAAAAAAAUUUGAUUUUUUCCCAUAGGAAUGCAUGGGUUAGGGUUAGGGUUAGGGUUGGAGCUAGGGUUAGGGUUAGGGUUAGGGUUGGAGUUAGGGUUAGUGUUGGAGCUAGGGUUAGGGUUGGGCUUGGAGCUAGGAUUUUUCUGAGUGCAAUGAACCAACUCCCGAGUCUCUAGGACGUUCCUAAAAAAAUUUGAUUUUUUCCCAUAGGAAUGCAUGGGUUAGGGUUAGGGUUAGGGUUGGAGCUAGGGUUAGGGUUAGGGUUAGGGUUGGAGUUAGGGUUAGUGUUAGAGCUAGGGUAAGGUUUGGGCUUGGAGCUAGGAUUUUUCUGAGUGCAAUGAACCAACUCCCGAGUCUCUAGGACGUUCCUAAAAAAAUUUGAUUUUUUUCCAUAGGAAUGCAUGGGUUAGGGUUAUGGUUAGGGUUAGGGUUGGAGCUAGGGUUAGGGUUAGGGUUAGGGUUGGAGUUAGGGUUAGUGUUGGAGCUAGGGUUAGGGUUGGGCUUGGAGCUAGGAUUUAUCUGAGUGCAAUGAACCAACUCCCGAGUCUCUAGGACGUUCCUAAAAAAAUUUGAUUUUUUCCCAUAGGAAUGCAUGGGUUAGGGUUAGGGUUAGGGUUGGAGCUAGGGUUAGGGUUAGGGUUAGGGUUGCAGUUAGGGUUAGUGUUGGAGCUAGGGUAAGGUUUGGGCUUGGAGCUAGGAUUUUUCUGAGUGCAAUGAACCAACUCCCGAGUCUCUAGGACGUUCCUAAAAAAAUUUGAUUUUUUUCCAUAGGAAUGCAUGGGUUAGGGUUAGGGUUGGAGCUAGUGUUAGGGUUAGGGUUGGAGCUAGGGUUAGGGUUAGGGUUAGGGUUGGAGUUAGGGUUAGUGUUGGAGCUAGGGUUAGGGUUGGGCUUGGAGCUAGGAUUUUUCUGAGUGCAAUGAACCAACUCCCGAGGCUCUUGGACGUUCCUAAAAAAAUUAGAUUUUUUCCCAUAGGAAUGCAUGGGUUAGGGUUAGGGUUAGGGUUGGAGCUAGGGUUAGGGUUAGGGUUAGGGUUGGAGUUAGGGUUAGUGUUGGAGCUAGGGUUAGGGUUGGGCUUGGAGCUAGGAUUUUUCUGAGUGCAAUGAACCAACUCCCGAGUCUCUAGGACGUUCCUAAAAAAAUUUGAUUUUUUCCCAUAGGAAUGCAUGGGUUAGGGUUAGGGUUAGGGUUGGAGCUAGGGUUAGGGUUAGGGUUAGGGUUGGAGUUAAGGUUAGUGUUGGAGCUAGGGUUAGGGUUGGGCUUGGAGCUAGGAUUUUUCUGAGUGCAGUGAACCAACUCCCGAGUCUCUAGGACGUUCCUAAAAAAAUUUGAUUUUUUCCCAUAGGAAUGCAUGGGUUAGGGUUAUGGUUAGGGUUAGGGUUGGAGCUAGGGUUAGGGUUAGGGUUAGGGUUGGAGUUAGGGUUAGUGUUGGAGCUAGGGUUAGGGUUGGGCUUGGAGCUAGGAUUUUUCUGAGUGCAAUGAACCAACUCCCGAGUCUCUAGGACGUUCCUAAAAAAAUUUGAUUUUUUCCCAUAGGAAUGCAUGGGUUAGGGUUAGGGUUAGGGUUGGAGCUAGGGUUAGGGUUAGGGUUGGAGUUAGGGUUAGUGUUGGAGCUAGGGUUAGGGUUGGGCUUGGAGCUAGGAUUUUUCUGAGUGCACUGAACCAACUCCCGAGUCUCUAGGACAUUCCUAAAAAAAUUUGAUUUUUUCCCAUAGGAAUGCAUGGGUUAGGGUUAUGGUUAGGGUUAGGGUUGGAGCUAGGGUUAGGGUUAGGGUUAGGGUUGGAGUUAGGGUUAGUGUUGGAGCUAGGGUUAGGGUUGGGCUUGGAGCUAGGAUUUUUCUGAGUGCAAUGAACCAACUCCCGAGUCUCUAGGACGUUCCUAAAAAAAUUUGAUUUUUUCCCAUAGGAAUGCAUGGGUUAGGGUUAGGGUUAGGGUUGGAGCUAGGGUUAGGGUUAGGGUUAGGGUUGGAGUUAGGGUUAGUGUUAGAGCUAGGGUAAGGUUUGGGCUUGGAGCUAGGAUUUUUCUGAGUGCAAUGAACCAACUCCCGAGUCUCUAGGACGUUCCUAAAAAAAUUUGAUUUUUUCCCAUAGGAAUGCAUGGGUUAGGGUUAGGGUUAGGGUUGGAGCUAGGGUUAGGGUUAGGGUUAGGGUUGCAGUUAGGGUUAGUGUUGGAGCUAGGGUAAGGUUUGGGCUUGGAGCUAGGAUUUUUCUGAGUGCAAUGAACCAACUCCCGAGUCUCUAGGACGUUCCUAAAAAAAUUUGAUUUUUUUCCCAUAGGAAUGCAUGGGUUAGGGUUAUGGUUAGGGUUAGGGUUGGAGCUAGGGUUAGGGUUAGGGUUAGGGUUGGAGUUAGGGUUAGUGUUGGAGCUAGGGUUAGGGUUGGGCUUGGAGCUAGGAUUUAUCUGAGUGCAAUGAACCAACCCCCGAGUCUCUAGGACGUUCCUAAAAAAAUUUGAUUUUUUCCCAUAGGAAUGCAUGGGUUAGGGUUAUGGUUAGCGUUAGGGUUGGAGCUAGGGUUAGGGUUAGGGUUAGGGUUGGAGUUAGGGUUAGUGUUGGAGCUAGGGUUAGGGUUGGGCUUGGAGCUAGGAUUUUUCUGAGUGCACUGAACCAACUCCCGAGUCUCUAGGACGUUCCUAAAAAAAUUUGAUUUUUUCCCAUAGGAAUGCAUGGGUCAGGGUUAGGGUUAGGGUUGGAGCUAGGGUUAGGGUUAGGGUUAGGGUUGGAGUUAGGGUUAGUGUUGGAGCUAGGGUUAGGGUUGGGCUUGGAGCUAGGAUUUUUCUGAGUGCAAUGAACCAACUCCCGAGUCUCUAGGACGUUCCUAAAAAAAUUUGAUUUUUUCCCAUAGGAAUGCAUGGGUUAGGGUUAGGGUUAGGGUUAGGGUUGGAGCUAGGGUUAGGGUUAGGGUUAGGGUUGGAGUUAGGGUUAGUGUUGGAGCUAGGGUUAGGGUUGGGCUUGGAGCUAGGAUUUUUCUGAGUGCAAUGAACCAACUCCCGAGUCUCUAGGACGUUCCUAAAAAAAUUUGAUUUUUUCCCAUAGGAAUGCAUGGGUUAGGGUUAGGGUUAGGGUUGGAGCUAGGGUUAGGGUUAGGGUUAGGGUUGGAGUUAGGGUUAGUGUUGGAGCUAGGGUUAGGGUUGGGCUUGGAGCUAGGAUUUUUCUGAGUGCAAUGAACCAACUCCCGAGUCUCUAGGACGUUCCUAAAAAAAUUUGAUUUUUUCCCAUAGGAAUGCAUGGGUUAGGGUUAGGGUUAGGGUUGGAGCUAGGGUUAGGGUUAGGGUUAGGGUUGGAGUUAGGGUUAGUGUUGGAGCUAGGGUUAGGGUUGGGCUUGGAACUAGGACUUUUCUGAGUGCAAUGAACCAACUCCCGAGUCUCUAGGACGUUCCCUAAAAAAAUUUGAUUUUUUCCCAUAGGAAUGCAUGGGUUAGGGUUAGGGUUAGGGUUGGAGCUAGGGUUAGGGUUAGGGUUAGGGUUAGAGUUAGGGUUAGUGUUGGAGCUAGGGUUAGGGUUGGGCUUGGAGCUAGGAUUUUUCUGAGUGCACUGAACCAACUCCCGAGUCUCUAGGACGUUCCUAAAAAAAUUUGAUUUUUUCCCAUAGGAAUGCAUGGGUUAGGGUUAGGGUUAGGGUUGGAGCUAGGGUAAGGGUUAGGGUUAGGGUUGGAGUUAGGGUUAGUGUUGGAGCUAGGGUUAGGGUUGGGCUUGGAGCUAGGACUUUUCUGAGUGCAAUGAACCAACUCCCGAGUCUCUAGGACGUUCCCUAAUAAAAUUUGAUUUUUUCCCAUAGGAAUGCAUGGGUUAGGGUUAGGGUUAGGGUUGGAGCUAGGGUUAGGGUUAGGGUUAGGGUUGGAGUUAGGGUUAGUGUUGGAGCUAGGGUUAGGGUUGGGCUUGGAGCUAGGAUUUUUCUGAGUGCACUGAACCAACUCCCGAGUCUCUAGGACAUUCCUAAAAAAAUUUGAUUUUUUCCCAUAGGAAUGCAUGGGUUAGGGUUAUGGUUAGGGUUAGGGUUGGAGCUAGGGUUAGGGUUAGGGUUAGGGUUGGAGUUAGGGUUAGUGUUGGAGCUAGGGUUAGGGUUGGGCUUGGAGCUAGGAUUUUUCUGAGUGCAAUGAACCAACUCCCGAGUCUCUUGGACAUUCCUAAAAAAAUUUGAUUUUUUCCCAUAGGAAUGCAUGGGUUAGGGUUAGGGUUAGGGUUGGAGCUAGGGUUAGGGUUAGGGUUAGGGUUGGAGUUAGGGUUAGUGUUGGAGCUAGGGUUAGGGUUGGGCUUGGAGCUAGGAUUUUUCUGAGUGCAAUGAACCAACUCCCGAGUCUCUAGGACGUUCCUAAAAAAAUUUGAUUUUUUCCCAUAGGAAUGCAUGGGUUAGGGUUAGGGUUAGGGUUAGGGUUGGAGCUAGGGUUAGGGUUAGGGUUAGGGUUGGAGUUAGGGUUAGUGUUGGAGCUAGGGUUAGGGUUGGGCUUGGAGCUAGGAUUUUUCUGAGUGCAAUGAACCAACCCCGAGUCUCUAGGACGUUCCUAAAAAAAUUUGAUUUUUUCCCAUAGGAAUGCAUGGGUUAGGGUUAUGGUUAGGGUUAGGGUUGGAGCUAGGGUUAGGGUUAGGGUUAGGGUUGGAGUUAGGGUUAGUGUUGGAGCUAGGGUUAGGGUUGGGCUUGGAGCUAGGAUUUUUCUGAGUGCACUGAACCAACUCCCGAGUCUCUAGGACAUUCCUAAAAAAAAUUGAUUUUUUCCCAUAGGAAUGCAUGGGUUAGGGUUAGGGUUAGGGUUGGAGCUAGGGUUAGGGUUAGGGUUGGAGUUAGGGUUAGUGUUGGAGCUAGGGUUAGGGUUGGGCUUGGAGCUAGGACUUUUCUGAGUACAAUGAACCAACUCCCGAGUCUCUAGGACGUUCCCUAAAAAAAUUUGAUUUUUUCCCAUAGGAAUGCAUGGGUUAGGGUUAGGGUUAGGGUUGGAGCUAGGGUUAGGGUUAGGGUUAGGGUUGGAGUUAGGGUUAGUGUUGGAGCUAGGGUUAGGGUUGGGCUUGGAGCUAGGAUUUUUCUGAGUGCACUGAACCAACUCCCGAGUCUCUAGGACAUUCCUAAAAAAAUUUGAUUUUUUCCCAUAGGAAUGCAUGGGUUAGGGUUAUGGUUAGGGUUAGGGUUGGAGCUAGGGUUAGGGUUAGGGUUAGGGUUGGAGUUAGGGUUAGUGUUGGAGCUAGGGUUAGGGUUGGGCUUGGAGCUAGGAUUUUUCUGAGUGCAAUGAACCAACUCCUGAGUCUCUAGGACUUUCCUAAAAAAAUUUGAUUUUUUCCCAUAGGAAUGCAUGGGUUAGGGUUAGGGUUAGGGUUAGGGUUGGAGCUAGGGUUAGGGUUAGGGUUAGGGUUGGAGUUAGGGUUAGUGUUGGAGCUAGGGUUAGGGUUGGGCUUGGAGCUAGGAUUUUUCUGAGUGCAAUGAACCAACCCCUAGUCUCUAGGACGUUCCUAAAAAAAUUUGAUUUUUUCCCAUAGGAAUGCAUGGGUUAGGGUUAUGGUUAGGGUUAGGGUUGGAGCUAGGGUUAGGGUUAGGGUUAGGGUUGGAGUUAGGGUUAGUGUUGGAGCUAGGGUUAGGGUUGGGCUUGGAGCUAGGAUUUUUCUGAGUGCACUGAACCAACUCCCGAGUCUCUAGGACAUUCCUAAAAAAAUUGAUUUUUUCCCAUAGGAAUGCAUGGGUUAGGGUUAGGGUUGGAGCUAGGGUUAGGGUUAGGGUUGGAGUUAGGGUUAGUGUUGGAGCUAGGGUUAGGGUUGGGCUUGGAGCUAGGACUUUUCUGAGUGCAAUGAACCAACUCCCGAGUCUCUAGGACGUUCCCUAAAAAAAUUUGAUUUUUUCCCAUAGGAAUGCAUGGGUUAGGGUUAGGGUUAGGGUUGGAGCUAGGGUUAGGGUUAGGGUUAGGGUUGGAGUUAGGGUUAGUGUUGGAGCUAGGGUUAGGGUUGGGCUUGGAGCUAGGAUUUUUCUGAGUGCACUGAACCAACUCCCGAGUCUCUAGGACAUUCCUAAAAAAAUUGAUUUUUUCCCAUAGGAAUGCAUGGGUUAGGGUUAGGGUUAGGGUUGGAGCUAGGGUUAGGGUUAGGGUUAGGGUUGGAGUUAGGGUUAGUGUUGGAGCUAGGGUUAGGGUUGGGCUUGGAGCUAGGAUUUUUCUGAGUGCACUGAACCAACUCCCGAGUCUCUAGGACAUUCCUAAAAAAAAAUUUGAUUUUUUCCCAUAGGAAUGCAUGGGUUAGGGUUAUGGUUAGGGUAAGGGUUGGAGCUAGGGUUAGGGUUAGGGUUAGGGUUGGAGUUAGGGUUAGUGUUGGAGCUAGGGUUAGGGUUGGGCUUGGAGCUAGGAUUUUUCUGAGUGCAAUGAACCAACUCCCGAGUCUCUUGGACAUUCCUAAAAAAAUUUGAUUUUUUCCCAUAGGAAUGCAUGGGUUAGGGUUAGGGUUAGGGUUGGAGCUAGGGUUAGGGUUAGGGUUAGUGUUGGAGCUAGGGUUAGGGUUGGGCUUGGAGCUAGGACUUUUCUGAGUGCAAUGAACCAACUCCCGAGUCUCUAGGACGUUCCCUAAAAAAAUUUGAUUUUUUCCCAUAGGAAUGCAUGGGUUAGGGUUAGGGUUAGGGUUGGAGCUAGGGUUAGGGUUAGGGUUAGGGUUGGAGUUAGGGUUAGUGUUGGAGCUAGGGUUAGGGUUGGGCUUGGAGCUAGGAUUUUUCUGAGUGCACUGAACCAACUCCCGAGUCUCUAGGACAUUCCUAAAAAAAUUUGAUUUUUUCCCAUAGGAAUGCAUGGGUUAGGGUUAUGGUUAGGGUUAGGGUUGGAGCUAGGGUUAGGGUUAGGGUUAGGGUUGGAGUUAGGGUUAGUGUUGGAGCUAGGGUUAGGGUUGGGCUUGGAGCUAGGAUUUUUCUGAGUGCAAUGAACCAACUCCCGAGUCUCUAGGACGUUCCUAAAAAAUUUGAUUUUUUCCCAUAGGAAUGCAUGGGUUAGGGUUAGGGUUAGGGUUGGAGCUAGGGUUAGGGUUAGGGUUAGGGUUGGAGUUAGGGUUAGUGUUGGAGCUAGGGUUAGGGUUGGGCUUGGAGCUAGGAUUUUUCUGAGUGCAAUGAACCAACUCCCGAGUCUCUAGGACGUUCCUAAAAAAAUUUGAUUUUUUCCCAUAGGAAUGCAUGGGUUAGGGUUAGGGUUAGGGUUAGGGUUGGAUCUAGGGUUAGGGUUAGGGUUAGGGUUGGAGUUAGGGUUAGUGUUGGAGCUAGGGUUAGGGUUGGGCUUGGAGCUAGGAUUUUUCUGAGUGCAAUGAACCAACCCCGAGUCUCUAGGACGUUCCUAAAAAAAUUUGAUUUUUUCCCAUAGGAAUGCAUGGGUUAGGGUUAUGGUUAGGGUUAGGGUUGGAGCUAGGGUUAGGGUUAGGGUUAGGGUUGGAGUUAGGGUUAGUGUUGGAGCUAGGGUUAGGGUUGGGCUUGGAGCUAGGAUUUUUCUGAGUGCACUGAACCAACUCCCGAGUCUCUAGGACAUUCCUAAAAAAAAUUGAUUUUUUCCCAUAGGAAUGCAUGGGUUAGGGUUAGGGUUAGGGUUGGAGCUAGGGUUAGGGUUAGGGUUGGAGUUAGGGUUAGUGUUGGAGCUAGGGUUAGGGUUGGGCUUGGAGCUAGGACUUUUCUGAGUGCAAUGAACCAACUCCCGAGUCUCUAGGACGUUCCCUAAAAAAAUUUGAUUUUUUCCCAUAGGAAUGCAUGGGUUAGGGUUAGGGUUAGGGUUGGAGCUAGGGUUAGGGUUAGGGUUAGGGUUGGAGUUAGGGUUAGUGUUGGAGCUAGGGUUAGGGUUGGGCUUGGAGCUAGGAUUUUUCUGAGUGCACUGAACCAACUCCCGAGUCUCUAGGACAUUCCUAAAAAAAAUUGAUUUUUUUCCCAUAGGAAUGCAUGGGUUAGGGUUAGGGUUAGGGUUGGAGCUAGGGUUAGGGUUAGGGUUAGGGUUGGAGUUAGGGUUAGUGUUGGAGCUAGGGUUAGGGUUGGGCUUGGAGCUAGGAUUUUUCUGAGUGCACUGAACCAACUCCCGAGUCUCUAGGACAUUCCUAAAAAAAUUUGAUUUUUUCCCAUAGGAAUGCAUGGGUUAGGGCUAUGGUUAGGGUAAGGGUUGGAGCUAGGGUUAGGGUUAGGGUGAGGGUUGGAGUUAGGGUUAGUGUUGGAGCUAGGGUUAGGGUUGGGCUUGGAGCUAGGAUUUUUCUGAGUGCAAUGAACCAACUCCCGAGUCUCUUGGACAUUCCUAAAAAAAUUUGAUUUUUUCCCAUAGGAAUGCAUGGGUUAGGGUUAGGGUUAGGGUUGGAGCUAGGGUUAGGGUUAGGGUUAGGGUUGGAGUUAGGGUUAGUGUUGGAGCUAGGGUUAGGGUUGGGCUUGGAGCUAGGAUUUUUCUGAGUGCAAUGAACCAACUCCCGAGUCUCUAGGACGUUCCUAAAAAAAUUUGAUUUUUUCCCAUAGGAAUGCAUGGGUUAGGGUUAGGGUUAGGGUUAGGGUUGGAGCUAGGGUUAGGGUUAGGGUUAGGGUUGGAGUUAGGGUUAGUGUUGGAGCUAGGGUUAGGGUUGGGCUUGGAGCUAGGAUUUUUCUGAGUGCAAUGAACCAACCCCGAGUCUCUAGGACGUUCCUAAAAAAAUUUGAUUUUUUCCCAUAGGAAUGCAUGGGUUAGGGUUAUGGUUAGGGUUAGGGUUGGAGCUAGGGUUAGGGUUAGGGUUAGGGUUGGAGUUAGGGUUAGUGUUUGAGCUAGGGUUAGGGUUGGGCUUGGAGCUAGGAUUUUUCUGAGUGCAAUGAACCAACUCCCGAGUCUCUAGGACGUUCCUAAAAAAAUUUGAUUUUUUCCCAUAGGAAUGCAUGGGUUAGGGUUAGGGUUAGGGUUGGAGCUAGGGUUAGGGUUAGGGUUAGGGUUGGAGUUAGGGUUAGUGUUGGAGCUAGGGUUAGGGUUGGGCUUGGAGCUAGGAUUUUUCUGAGUGCAAUGAACCAACUCCCGAGUCUCUAGGACGUUCCUAAAACAAUUUGAUUUUUUCCCAUAGGAAUGCAUGGGUUAGGGUUAGGGUUAGGGUUGGAGCUAGGGUUAGGGUUAGGGUUAGGGUUGGAGUUAGGGUUAGUGUUGGAGCUAGGGUUAGGGUUGGGCUUGGAGCUAGGACUUUUCUGAGUGCAAUGAACCAACUCCCGAGUCUCUAGGACGUUCCCUAAAAAAAUUUGAUUUUUUCCCAUAGGAAUGCAUGGGUUAGGGUUAGGGUUAGGGUUGGAGCUAGGGUUAGGGUUAGGGUUAGGGUUAGAGUUAGGGUUAGUGUUGGAGCUAGGGUUAGGGUUGGGCUUGGAGCUAGGAUUUUUCUGAGUGCACUGAACCAACUCCCGAGUCUCUAGGACAUUCCUAAAAAAAUUGAUUUUUUUCCAUAGGAAUGCAUGGGUUAGGGUUAGGGUUAGGGUUGGAGCUAGGGUUAGUGUUAGGUUUAGGGUUGGAGUUAGGGUUAGUGUUUGAGCUAGGGUUAGGGCUGGGCUUGGAGCUAGGAUUUUUCUGAGUGCAAUGAACCAACUCCCGAGUCUCUAGGACGUUCCUAAAAAAAAUUGAUUUUUUCCCAUAGGAAUGCAUGGGUUAGGGUUAGGGUUAGGGUUGGAGCUAGGGUUAGGGUUAGGGUUAGGGUUGGAGUUAGGGUUAGUGUUGGAGCUAGGGUUAGGGUUGGGCUUGGAGCUAGGAUUUUUCUGAGUGCAAUGAACCAACUCCCGAGUCUCUAGGACGUUCCUAAAAAAAUUUGAUUUUUUCCCAUAGGAAUGCAUGGGUUAGGGUUAGGGUUAGGGUUGGAGCUAGGGUUAGGGUUAGGGUUAGGGUUGGAGUUAGGGUUAGUGUUGGAGCUAGGGUUAGGGUUGGGCUUGGAGCUAGGAUUUUUCUGAGUGCACUGAACCAACUCCCGAGUCUCUAGGACAUUCCUAAAAAAAUUUGAUUUUUUCCCAUAGGAAUGCAUGGGUUAGGGUUAGGGUUAGGGUUGGAGCUAGGGUUAGGGUUAGGGUUGGAGUUAGGGUUAGUGUUGGAGCUAGGGUUAGGGUUGGGCUUGGAGCUAGGACUUUUCUGAGUGCAAUGAACCAACUCCCGAGUCUCUAGGACGUUCCCUAAAAAAAAUUGAUUUUUUCCCAUAGGAAUGCAUGGGUUAGGGUUAGGGUUAGGGUUGGAGCUAGGGUUAGGGUUAGGGUUAGGGUUAGAGUUAGGGUUAGUGUUGGAGCUAGGGUUAGGGUUGGGCUUGGAGCUAGGAUUUUUCUGAGUGCACUGAACCAACUCCCGAGUCUCUAGGACAUUCCUAAAAAAAAUUGAUUUUUUUCCAUAGGAAUGCAUGGGUUAGGGUUAGGGUUAGGGUUGGAGCUAGGGUUAGUGUUAGGUUUAGGGUUGGAGUUAGGGUUAGUGUUGGAGUUAGGGUUAGGGUUGGGCUUGGAGCUAGGAUUUUUCUGAGUGCAAUGAACCAACUCCCGAGUCUCUAGGACGUUCCUAAAAAAAUUUGAUUUUUUCCCAUAGGAAUGCAUGGGUUAGGGUUAGGGUUAGGGUUGGAGCUAGGGUUAGGGUUAGGGUUAGGGUUGGAGUUAGGGUUAGUGUUGGAGCUAGGGUUAGGGUUGGGCUUGGAGCUAGGAUUUUUCUGAGUGCACUGAACCAACUCCCGAGUCUCUAGGACAUUCCUAAAAAAAUUUGAUUUUUUCCCAUAGGAAUGCAUGGGUUAGGGUUAUGGUUAGGGUUAGGGUUGGAGCUAGGGUUAGGGUUAGGGUUAGGGUUGGAGUUAGGGUUAGUGUUGGAGCUAGGGUUAGGGUUGGGCUUGGAGCUAGGAUUUUUCUGAGAGGCACUGAACCAACUCCCGAGUCUCUAGGACAUUCCUAAAAAAAUUUGAUUUUUCCCAUAGGAAUGCAUGGGUUAGGGUUAUGGUUAGGGUUAGGGUUGGAGCUAGGGUUAGGGUUAGGGUUAGGGUUGGAGUUAUGGUUAGUGUUGGAGCUAGGGUUAGGGUUGGGCUUGGAGCUAGGAUUUUUCUGAGUGCAAUGAACCAACUCCCGAGUCUCUAGGACGUUCCUAAAAAAAUUUGAUUUUUUCCCAUAGGAAUGCAUGGGUUAGGGUUAGGGUUAGGGUUGGAGCUAGGGUUAGGGUUAGGGUUAGGGUUAGGGUUGGAGUUAGGGUUAGUGUUGGAGCUAGGGUUAGGGUUGGGCUUGGAGCUAGGAUUUUUCUGAGUGCACUGAACCAACUCCCGAGUCUCUAGGACAUUCCUAAAAAAAUUUGAUUUUUUCCCAUAGGAAUGCAUGGGUUAGGGUUAGGGUUAGGGUUGGAGCUAGGGUUAGGGUUAGGGUUAGGGUUGGAGUUAGGGUUAGUGUUGGAGCUAGGGUUAGGGUUGGGCUUGGACUAGGAUUUUUCUGAGUGCACUGAACCAACUCCCGAGUCUCUAGGACAUUCCUAAAAAAAUUUGAUUUUUUCCCAUAGGAAUGCAUGGGUUAGGGUUAUGGUUAGGGUUAGGGUUGGAGCUAGGGUUAGGGUUAGGGUUAGGGUUGGAGUUAGGGUUAGUGUUGGAGCUAGGGUUAGGGUUGGGCUUGGAGCUAGGAUUUUUCUGAGUGCAAUGAACCAACUCCCGAGUCUCUUGGACGUUCCUAAAAAAAUUUGAUUUUUUCCCAUAGGAAUGCAUGGGUUAGGGUUAGGGUUAGGGUUGGAGCUAGGGUUAGGGUUAGGGUUAGGGUUGGAGUUAGGGUUAGUGUUGGAGCUAGGGUUAGGGUUGGGCUUGGAGCUAGGAUUUUUCUGAGUGCACUGAACCAACUCCCGAGUCUCUAGGACAUUCCUAAAAAAAUUUGAUUUUUUCCCAUAGGAAUGCAUGGGUUAGGGUUAUGUUUAGGGUUAGGGUUGGAGCUAGGGUUAGGGUUAGGGUUAGGGUUGGAGUUAGGGUUAGUGUUGGAGCUAGGGUUAGGGUUGGGCUUGGAGCUAGGAUUUUUCUGAGUGCAAUGAACCAACUCCCGAGUCUCUUGGACGUUCCUAAAAAAAUUUGAUUUUUUCCCAUAGGAAUGCAUGGGUUAGGGUUAGGGUUAGGGUUGGAGCUAGGGUUAGGGUUAGGGUUAGGGUUGGAGUUAGGGUUAGUGUUGGAGCUAGGGUUAGGGUUGGGCUUGGAGCUAGGAUUUUUCUGAGUGCAAUGAACCAACUCCCGAGUCUCUAGGACGUUCCUAAAAAAAUUUGAUUUUUUCCCAUAGGAAUGCAUGGGUUAGGGUUAGGGUUAGGGUUAGGGUUGGAGCUAGGGUUAGGGUUAGGGUUAGGGUUGGAGUUAGGGUUAGUGUUGGAGCUAGGGUUAGGGUUGGGCUUGGAGCUAGGAUUUUUCUGAGUGCAAUGAACCAACCCCGAGUCUCUAGGACGUUCCUAAAAAAUUUGAUUUUUUCCCAUAGGAAUGCAUGGGUUAGGGUUAUGGUUAGGGUUAGGGUUGGAGCUAGGGUUAGGGUUAGGGUUAGGGUUGGAGUUAGGGUUAGUGUUUGAGCUAGGGUUAGGGUUGGGCUUGGAGCUAGGAUUUUUCUGAGUGCAAUGAACCAACUCCCGAGUCUCUAGGACGUUCCUAAAAAAAUUUGAUUUUUUCCCAUAGGAAUGCAUGGGUUAGGGUUAGGGUUAGGGUUGGAGCUAGGGUUAGGGUUAGGGUUAGGGUUGGAGUUAGGGUUAGUGUUGGAGCUAGGGUUAGGGUUGGGCUUGGAGCUAGGAUUUUUCUGAGUGCAAUGAACCAACUCCCGAGUCUCUAGGACGUUCCUAAAACAAUUUGAUUUUUUCCCAUAGGAAUGCAUGGGUUAGGGUUAGGGUUAGGGUUGGAGCUAGGGUUAGGGUUAGGGUUAGGGUUGGAGUUAGGGUUAGUGUUGGAGCUAGGGUUAGGGUUGGGCUUGGAGCUAGGACUUUUCUGAGUGCAAUGAACCAACUCCCGAGUCUCUAGGACGUUCCCUAAAAAAAUUUGAUUUUUUCCCAUAGGAAUGCAUGGGUUAGGGUUAGGGUUAGGGUUGGAGCUAGGGUUAGGGUUAGGGUUAGGGUUAGAGUUAGGGUUAGUGUUGGAGCUAGGGUUAGGGUUGGGCUUGGAGCUAGGAUUUUUCUGAGUGCACUGAACCAACUCCCGAGUCUCUAGGACAUUCCUAAAAAAAUUGAUUUUUUUCCAUAGGAAUGCAUGGGUUAGGGUUAGGGUUAGGGUUGGAGCUAGGGUUAGUGUUAGGUUUAGGGUUGGAGUUAGGGUUAGUGUUGGAGCUAGGGUUAGGGUUGGGCUUGGAGCUAGGAUUUUUCUGAGUGCAAUGAACCAACUCCCGAGUCUCUAGGACGUUCCUAAAAAAAUUGAUUUUUUCCCAUAGGAAUGCAUGGGUUAGGGUUAGGGUUAGGGUUGGAGCUAGGGUUAGGGUUAGGGUUAGGGUUGGAGUUAGGGUUAGUGUUGGAGCUAGGGUUAGGGUUGGGCUUGGAGCUAGGAUUUUUCUGAGUGCAAUGAACCAACUCCCGAGUCUCUAGGACGUUCCUAAAAAAAUUUGAUUUUUUCCCAUAGGAAUGCAUGGGUUAGGGUUAGGGUUAGGGUUGGAGCUAGGGUUAGGGUUAGGGUUAGGGUUGGAGUUAGGGUUAGUGUUGGAGCUAGGGUUAGGGUUGGGCUUGGAGCUAGGAUUUUUCUGAGUGCACUGAACCAACUCCCGAGUCUCUAGGACAUUCCUAAAAAAAUUUGAUUUUUUCCCAUAGGAAUGCAUGGGUUAGGGUUAGGGUUAGGGUUGGAGCUAGGGUUAGGGUUAGGGUUGGAGUUAGGGUUAGUGUUGGAGCUAGGGUUAGGGUUGGGCUUGGAGCUAGGACUUUUCUGAGUGCAAUGAACCAACUCCCGAGUCUCUAGGACGUUCCCUAAAAAAAAUUGAUUUUUUCCCAUAGGAAUGCAUGGGUUAGGGUUAGGGUUAGGGUUGGAGCUAGGGUUAGGGUUAGGGUUAGGGUUAGAGUUAGGGUUAGUGUUGGAGCUAGGGUUAGGGUUGGGCUUGGAGCUAGGAUUUUUCUGAGUGCACUGAACCAACUCCCGAGUCUCUAGGACAUUCCUAAAAAAAAUUGAUUUUUUUCCCAUAGGAAUGCAUGGGUUAGGGUUAGGGUUAGGGUUGGAGCUAGGGUUAGUGUUAGGUUUAGGGUUGGAGUUAGGGUUAGUGUUGGAGUUAGGGUUAGGGUUGGGCUUGGAGCUAGGAUUUUUCUGAGUGCAAUGAACCAACUCCCGAGUCUCUAGGACGUUCCUAAAAAAAUUUGAUUUUUUCCCAUAGGAAUGCAUGGGUUAGGGUUAGGGUUAGGGUUGGAGCUAGGGUUAGGGUUAGGGUUAGGGUUGGAGUUAGGGUUAGUGUUGGAGCUAGGGUUAGGGUUGGGCUUGGAGCUAGGAUUUUUCUGAGUGCACUGAACCAACUCCCGAGUCUCUAGGACAUUCCUAAAAAAAUUUGAUUUUUUCCCAUAGGAAUGCAUGGGUUAGGGUUAUGGUUAGGGUUAGGGUUGGAGCUAGGGUUAGGGUUAGGGUUAGGGUUGGAGUUAGGGUUAGUGUUGGAGCUAGGGUUAGGGUUGGGCUUGGAGCUAGGAUUUUUCUGAGAGCACUGAACCAACUCCCGAGUCUCUAGGACAUUCCUAAAAAAAUUUGAUUUUUUCCCAUAGGAAUGCAUGGGUUAGGGUUAUGGUUAGGGUUAGGGUUGGAGCUAGGGUUAGGGUUAGGGUUAGGGUUGGAGUUAUGGUUAGUGUUGGAGCUAGGGUUAGGGUUGGGCUUGGAGCUAGGAUUUUUCUGAGUGCAAUGAACCAACUCCAGAGUCUCUAGGACGUUCCUAAAAAAAUUUGAUUUUUUCCCAUAGGAAUGCAUGGGUUAGGGUUAGGGUUAGGGUUGGAGCUAGGGUUAGGGUUAGGGUUAGGGUUAGGGUUGGAGUUAGGGUUAGUGUUGGAGCUAGGGUUAGGGUUGGGCUUGGAGCUAGGAUUUUUCUGAGUGCACUGAACCAACUCCCGAGUCUCUAGGACAUUCCUAAAAAAAUUUGAUUUUUUCCCAUAGGAAUGCAUGGGUUAGGGUUAGGGUUAGGGUUGGAGCUAGGGUUAGGGUUAGGGUUAGGGUUGGAGUUAGGGUUAGUGUUGGAGCUAGGGUUAGGGUUGGGCUUGGAGCUAGGAUUUUUCUGAGUGCACUGAACCAACUCCCGAGUCUCUAGGACAUUCCUAAAAAAUUUGAUUUUUUCCCAUAGGAAUGCAUGGGUUAGGGUUAUGGUUAGGGUUAGGGUUGGAGCUAGGGUUAGGGUUAGGGUUAGGGUUGGAGUUAGGGUUAGUGUUGGAGCUAGGGUUAGGGUUGGGCUUGGAGCUAGGAUUUUUCUGAGUGCAAUGAACCAACUCCCGAGUCUCUUGGACGUUCCUAAAAAAAUUUGAUUUUUUCCCAUAGGAAUGCAUGGGUUAGGGUUAGGGUUAGGGUUGGAGCUAGGGUUAGGGUUAGGGUUAGGGUUGGAGUUAGGGUUAGUGUUGGAGCUAGGGUUAGGGUUGGGCUUGGAGCUAGGAUUUUUCUGAGUGCACUGAACCAACUCCCGAGUCUCUAGGACAUUCCUAAAAAAAUUAGAUUUUUUCCCAUAGGAAUGCAUGGGUUAGGGUUAUGUUUAGGGUUAGGGUUGGAGCUAGGGUUAGGGUUAGGGUUAGGGUUGGAGUUAGGGUUAGUGUUGGAGCUAGGGUUAGGGUUGGGCUUGGAGCUAGGAUUUUUCUGAGUGCAAUGAACCAACUCCCGAGUCUCUUGGACGUUCCUAAAAAAAUUUGAUUUUUUCCCAUAGGAAUGCAUGGGUUAGGGUUAGGGUUAGGGUUGGAGCUAGGGUUAGGGUUAGGGUUAGGGUUGGAGUUAGGGUUAGUGUUGGAGCUAGGGUUAGGGUUGGGCUUGGAGCUAGGAUUUUUCUGAGUGCAAUGAACCAACUCCCGAGUCUCUAGGACGUUCCUAAAAAAAUUUGAUUUUUUCCCAUAGGAAUGCAUGGGUUAGGGUUAGGGUUAGGGUUGGAGCUAGGGUUAGGGUUAGGGUUAGGGUUGGAGUUAAGGUUAGUGUUGGAGCUAGGGUUAGGGUUGGGCUUGGAGCUAGGAUUUUUCUGAGUGCAAUGAACCAACUACCGAGUCUCUAGGACGUUCCUAAAAAAAUUUGAUUUUUUCCCAUAGGAAUGCAUGGGUUAGGGUUAUGGUUAGGGUUAGGGUUGGAGCUAGGGUUAGGGUUAGGGUUAGGGUUGGAGUUAGGGUUAGUGUUGGAGCUAGGGUUAGGGUUGGGCUUGGAGCUAGGAUUUUUCUGAGUGCAAUGAACCAACCCCCGAGUCUCUAGGACGUUCCUAAAAAAAUUUGAUUUUUUCCCAUAGGAAUGCAUGGGUUAGGGUUAUGGUUAGGGUUAGGGUUGGAGCUAGGGUUAGGGUUAGGGUUAGGGUUGGAGUUAGGGUUAGUGUUGGAGCUAGGGUUAGGGUUGGGCUUGGAGCUAGGAUUUUUCUGAGUGCAAUGAACCAACUCCCGAGUCUCUAGGACAUUCCUAAAAAAAUUUGAUUUUUUCCCAUAGGAAUGCAUGGGUUAGGGUUAGGGUUAGGGUUGGAGCUAGGGUUAGGGUUAGGGUUAGGGUUGGAGUUAGGGUUAGUGUUGGAGCUAGGGUUAGGGUUGGGCUUGGAGCUAGGAUUUUUCUGAGUGCAAUGAACCAACUCCCGAGUCUCUAGGACGUUCCUAAAAAAAUUUGAUUUUUUCCCAUAGGAAUGCAUGGGUUAGGGUUAGGGUUAGGGUUGGAGCUAGGGUUAGGGUUAGGGUUAGGGUUAGUGUUGGAGCUAGGGUUAGGGUUGGGCUUGGAGCUAGGAUUUUUCUGAGUGCACUGAACCAACUCCCGAGUCUCUAGGACAUUCCUAAAAAAAUUAGAUUUUUUCCCAUAGGAAUGCAUGGGUUAGGGUUAGGGUUAGGCUUGGAGCUAGGGUUAGGGUUAGGGUUAGGGUUGGAGUUAGGGUUAGUGUUGGAGCUAGGGUUAGGGUUGGGCUUGGAGCUAGGAUUUUUCUGAGUGCAAUGAACCAACUCCCGAGUCUCUAGGACGUUCCUAAAAAAAUUUGAUUUUUUCCCAUAGGAAUGCAUGGGUUAGGGUUAGGGUUAGGGUUGGAGCUAGGGUUAGGGUUAGGGUUAGGGUUGGAGUUAGGGUUAGUGUUGGAGCUAGGGUUAGGGUUGGGCUUGGAGCUAGGAUUUUUCUGAGUGCACUGAACCAACUCCCGAGUCUCUAGGACAUUCCUAAAAAAAUUUGAUUUUUUCCCAUAGGAAUGCAUGGGUUAGGGUUAUGGUUAGGGUUAGGGUUGGAGCUAGGGUUAGGGUUAGGGUUAGGGUUGGAGUUAGGGUUAGUGUUGGAGCUAGGGUUAGGGUUGGGCUUGGAGCUAGGAUUUUUCUGAGUGCACUGAACCAACUCCCGAGUCUCUAGGACAUUCCUAAAAAAAUUUGAUUUUUUCCCAUAGGAAUGCAUGGGUUAGGGUUAGGGUUAGGCUUGGAGCUAGGGUUAGGGUUAGGGUUAGGGUUGGAGUUAGGGUUAGUGUUGGAGCUAGGGUUAGGGUUGGGCUUGGAGCUAGGAUUUUUCUGAGUGCACUGAACCAACUCCCGAGUCUCUAGGACAUUCCUAAAAAAAAUUGAUUUUUUUCCCAUAGGAAUGCAUGGGUUAGGGUUAUGGUUAGGGUUAGGGUUGGAGCUAGGGUUAGGGUUGGAGUUAGGGUUAGUGUUGGAGCUAGGGUUAGGGUUAGGGUUAGGGUUAGGGUUAGGGUUAGGGUUAGGUUAGGGUUAGGGUUGGAGCUAGGGUUAGGGUUAGGGUUAGGGUUGGAGUUAGGGUUAGUGUUGGACCUAGGGUUAGGGUUGGGCUUGGAGCUAGGAUUUUUCUGAGUGCAAUGAACCAACUCCCGAGUCUCUAGGACGUUCCUAAACAAAUUUGAUUUUUUCCCAUAGGAAUGCAUGGGUUAGGGUUAGGGUUAGGGUUGGAGCUAGGGUUAGGGUUAGGGUUAGGGUUGGAGUUAGGGUUAGUGUUGGAGCUAGGGUUAGGGUUGGGCUUGGAGCUAGGAUUUUUCUGAGUGCAAUGAACCAACUCCCGAGUCUCUAGGACGUUCCUAAAAAAUUUGAUUUUUUCCCAUAGGAAUGCAUGGGUUAGGGUUAGGGUUAGGGUUGGAGCUAGGGUUAGGGUUAGGGUUAGGGUUGGAGUUAAGGUUAGUGUUGGAGCUAGGGUUAGGGUUGGGCUUGGAGCUAGGAUUUUUCUGAGUGCAAUGAACCAACUCCCGAGUCUCUAGGACGUUCCUAAAAAAAAUUGAUUUUUUCCCAUAGGAAUGCAUGGGUUAGGGUUAUGGUUAGGGUUAGGGUUGGAGCUAGGGUUAGGGUUAGGGUUAGGGUUGGAGUUAGGGUUAGUGUUGGAGCUAGGGUUAGGGUUGGGCUUGGAGCUAGGAUUUUUCUGAGUGCAAUGAACCAACCCCCGAGUCUCUAGGACGUUCCUAAAAAAAUUUGAUUUUUUCCCAUAGGAAUGCAUGGGUUAGGGUUAUGGUUAGGGUUAGGGUUGGAGCUAGGGUUAGGGUUAGGGUUAGGGUUGGAGUUAGGGUUAGUGUUGGAGCUAGGGUUAGGGUUGGGCUUGGAGCUAGGAUUUUUCUGAGUGCAAUGAACCAACUCCCGAGUCUCUAGGACGUUCCUAAAAAAAUUUGAUUUUUUUCCCCNNNNNNNNNNNNNNNNNNNNNNNNNNNNNNNNNNNNNNNNNNNNNNNNNNNNNNNNNNNNNNNNNNNNNNNNNNNNNNNNNNNNNNNNNNNNNNNNNNNNNNNNNNNNNNNNNNNNNNNNNNNNNNNNNNNNNNNNNNNNNNNNNNNNNNNNNNNNNNNNNNNNNNNNNNNNNNNNNNNNNNNNNNNNNNNNNNNNNNNNGUCUCUGAGGACAUUCCUAAAAAAAAUUUGAUUUUUCCCAUAGGAAUGCAUGGAGUUGGGGUUAGGGUUAGGGUUGGAGCUAGGGUUAGGGUUAGGGUUGGGGUUGGAGUUAGGGUUAGUGUUGGAGCUAGGGUUAGGGUUGGGCUUGGAGCUAGGAUUUUUCUGAGUGCAAUGAACCAACUCCCGAGUCUCUAGGACGUUCCUAAAAAAAUUUGAUUUUUUCCCAUAGGAAUGCAUGGGUUAGGGUUAGGGUUAGGGUUGGAGCUAGGGUUAGGGUUAGGGUUAGGGUUGGAGUUAGGGUUAGUGUUGGAGCUAGGGUUAGGGUUGGGCUUGGAGCUAGGAUUUUUCUGAGUGCACUGAACCAACUCCCGAGUCUCUAGGACGUUCCUAAAAAAAUUUGAUUUUUUUCCCAUAGGAAUGCAUGGGUUAGGGUUAUGGUUAGGGUUGGAGCUAGGGUUAGGGUUAGGGUUAGGGUUGGAGUUAGGGUUAGUGUUGGAGCUAGGGUUAGGGUUGGGCUUGGAGCUAGGAUUUUUCUGAGUGCACUGAACCAACUCCCGAGUCUCUAGGACGUUCCUAAAAAAAUUUGAUUUUUUCCCAUAGGAAUGCAUGGGUUAGGGUUAGGGUUAGGGUUGGAGCUAGGGUUAGGGUUAGGGUUAGGGUUGGAGUUAGGGUUAGUGUUGGAGCUAGGGUUAGGGUUGGGCUUGGAGCUAGGAUUUUUCUGAGUGCACUGAACCAACUCCCGAGUCUCUAGGACGUUCCUAAAAAAAAAUUUGAUUUUUUCCCAUAGGAAAUGCAUGGGUUAGGGUUAGGGUUAGGGUUGGAGCUAGGGUUAGGGUUAGGGUUAGGGUUGGAGUUAGGGUUAGUGUUGGAGCUAGGGUUAGGGUUGGGCUUGGAGCUAGGAUUUUUCUGAGUGCACUGAACCAACUCCCGAGUCUCUAGGACAUUCCUAAAAAAAUUUGAUUUUUUCCCAUAGGAAUGCAUGGGUUAGGGUUAUGGUUGGGGUUAGGGUUGGAGCUAGGGUUAGGGUUAGGGUUAGGGUUGGAGUUAGGGUUAGUGUUGGAGCUAGGGUUAGGGUUGGGCUUGGAGCUAGGAUUUUUCUGAGUGCACUGAACCAACUCCCGAGUCUCUAGGACAUUCCUAAAAAAAAUUGAUUUUUUCCCAUAGGAAUGCAUGGGUUAGGGUUAUGGUUAGGGUUAGGGUUGGAGCUAGGGUUAGGGUUAGGGUUAGGGUUGGAGUUAGGGUUAGUGUUGGAGCUAGGGUUAGGGUUGGGCUUGGAGCUAGGAUUUUUCUGAGUGCACUGAACCAACUCCCGAGUCUCUAGGACAUUCCUAAAAAAAUUUGAUUUUUCCCAUAGGAAUGCAUGGGUUAGGGUUAGGGUUAGGGUUGGAGCUAGGGUUAGGGUUAGGGUUAGGGUUGGAGUUAGGGUUAGUGUUGGAGCUAGGGUUAGGGUUGGGCUUGGAGCUAGGAUUUUUCUGAGUGCACUGAACCAACUCCCGAGUCUCUAGGACAUUCCUAAAAAAAUUUGAUUUUUUCCCAUAGGAAUGCAUGGGUUAGGGUUAGGGUUAGGGUUGGAGCUAGGGUUAGGGUUAGGGUUAGGGUUGGAGUUAGGGUUAGUGUUGGAGCUAGGGUUAGGGUUGGGCUUGGAGCUAGGAUUUUUCUGAGUGCACUGAACCAACUCCCGAGUCUCUAGGACAUUCCUAAAAAAAUUUGAUUUUUCCCAUAGGAAUGCAUGGGUUAGGGUUAUGGUUAGUUAGGGUUGGAGCUAGGGUUAGGGUUAGGGUUAGGGUUGGAGUUAGGGUUAGUGUUGGAGCUAGGGUUAGGGUUGGGCUUGGAGCUAGGAUUUUUCUGAGUGCAAUGAACCAACUCCCGAGUCUCUAGGACGUUCCUAAAAAAAUUUGAUUUUUUUCCCAUAGGAAUGCAUGGGUUAGGGUUAGGGUUAGGGUUAGGGUUGGAGCUAGGGUUAGGGUUAGGGUUAGGGUUGGAGUUAGGGUUAGUGUUGGAGCUAGGGUUAGGGUUGGGCUUGGAGCUAGGAUUUUUCUGAGUGCAAUGAACCAACUCCCGAGUCUCUAGGACGUUCCUAAAAAAAUUUGAUUUUUUCCCAUAGGAAUGCAUGGGUUAGGGUUAUGGUUAGGGUUAGGGUUGGAGCUAGGGUUAGGGUUAGGGUUAGGGUUGGAGUUAGGGUUAGUGUUGGAGCUAGGGUUAGGGUUGGGCUUGGAGCUAGGAUUUUCUGAGUGCAAUGAACCAACUCCCGAGUCUCUAGGACGUUCCUAAAAAAAUUUGAUUUUUUCCCAUAGGAAUGCAUGGGUUAGGGUUAGGGUUAGGGUUGGAGCUAGGGUUAGGGUUAGGGUUAGGGUUGGAGUUAGGGUUAGUGUUGGAGCUAGGGUUAGGGUUGGGCUUGGAGCUAGGAUUUUUCUGAGUGCAAUGAACCAACUCCCGAGUCUCUAGGACGUUCCUAAAAAAUUUGAUUUUUUCCCAUAGGAAUGCAUGGGUUAGGGUUAGGGUUAGGGUUAGGGUUGGAGCUAGGGUUAGGGUUAGGGUUAGGGUUGGAGUUAGGGUUAGUGUUGGAGCUAGGGUUAGGGUUGGGCUUGGAGCUAGGAUUUUCUGAGUGCACUGAACCAACUCCCGAGUCUCUAGGACAUUCCUAAAAAAAUUUGAUUUUUUCCCAUAGGAAUGCAUGGGUUAGGGUUAGGGUUAGGGUUAGGGUUGGAGCUAGGGUUAGGGUUAGGGUUAGGGUUGGAGUUAGGGUUAGUGUUGGAGCUAGGGUUAGGGUUGGGCUUGGAGCUAGGAUUUUUCUGAGUGCACUGAACCAACUCCCGAGUCUCUAGGACAUUCCUAAAAAAAUUUGAUUUUUCCCAUAGGAAUGCAUGGGUUAGGGUUAGGGUUAGGGUUGGAGCUAGGGUUAGGGUUAGGGUUGGAGUUAGGGUUAGUGUUGGAGCUAGGGUUAGGGUUGGGCUUGGAGCUAGGAUUUUUCUGAGUGCAAUGAACCAACUCCCGAGUCUCUAGGACGUUCCUAAAAAAUUUGAUUUUUUCCCAUAGGAAUGCAUGGGUUAGGGUUAGGGUUAGGGUUGGAGCUAGGGUUAGGGUUAGGGUUAGGGUUGGAGUUAGGGUUAGUGUUGGAGCUAGGGUUAGGGUUGGGCUUGGAGCUAGGAUUUUUCUGAGUGCACUGAACCAACUCCCGAGUCUCUAGGACGUUCCUAAAAAAAUUUGAUUUUUUCCCAUAGGAAUGCAUGGGUUAGGGUUAGGGUUAGGGUUAGGGUUGGAGCUAGGGUUAGGGUUAGGGUUAGGGUUGGAGUUAGGGUUAGUGUUGGAGCUAGGGUUAGGGUUGGGCUUGGAGCUAGGAUUUUUCUGAGUGCACUGAACCAACUCCCGAGUCUCUCUAGGAGGCGUUCCUAAAAAAUUUGAUUUUUUCCCAUAGGAAUGCAUGGGUUAGGGUUAGGGUUAGGGUUAGGGUUGGAGCUAGGGUUAGGGUUAGGGUUAGGGUUGGAGUUAGGGUUAGUGUUGGAGCUAGGGUUAGGGUUGGGCUUGGAGCUAGGAUUUUUCUGAGUGCAAUGAACCAACUCCCGAGUCUCUUGGACGUUCCUAAAAAAAUUUGAUUUUUUUCCCAUAGGAAUGCAUGGGUUAGGGUUAGGGUUAGGGUUGGAGCUAGGGUUAGGGUUAGGGUUAGGGUUGGAGUUAGGGUUAGUGUUGGAGCUAGGGUUAGGGUUGGGCUUGGAGCUAGGAUUUUUCUGAGUGCACUGAACCAACUCCCGAGUCUCUAGGACAUUCCUAAAAAAAUUUGAUUUUUUCCCAUAGGAAUGCAUGGGUUAGGGUUAGGGUUAGGGUUGGAGCUAGGGUUAGGGUUAGGGUUAGGGUUGGAGUUAGGGUUAGUGUUGGAGCUAGGGUUAGGGUUGGGCUUGGAGCUAGGAUUUUUCUGAGUGCACUGAACCAACUCCCGAGUCUCUAGGACAUUCCUAAAAAAAUUUGAUUUUUUCCCAUAGGAAUGCAUGGGUUAGGGUUAUGGUUAGGGUUAGGGUUGGAGCUAGGGUUAGGGUUAGGGUUAGGGUUGGAGUUAGGGUUAGUGUUGGAGCUAGGGUUAGGGUUGGGCUUGGAGCUAGGAUUUUUCUGAGUGCACUGAACCAACUCCCGAGUCUCUAGGACGUUCCUAAAAAAUUUGAUUUUUUCCCAUAGGAAUGCAUGGGUUAGGGUUAUGGUUAGGGUUAGGGUUGGAGCUAGGGUUAGGGUUAGGGUUAGGGUUGGAGUUAGGGUUAGUGUUGGAGCUAGGGUUAGGGUUGGGCUUGGAGCUAGGAUUUUUCUGAGUGCACUGAACCAACUCCCGAGUCUCUAGGACAUUCCUAAAAAAAUUUGAUUUUUUUCCCAUAGGAAUGCAUGGGUUAGGGUUAGGGUUAGGGUUGGAGCUAGGGUUAGGGUUAGGGUUAGGGUUGGAGUUAGGGUUAGUGUUGGAGCUAGGGUUAGGGUUGGGCUUGGAGCUAGGAUUUUUCUGAGUGCACUGAACCAACUCCCGAGUCUCUAGGACAUUCCUAAAAAAAAAUUUGAUUUUUUCCCAUAGGAAUGCAUGGGUUAGGGUUAUGGUUAGGGUUAGGGUUGGAGCUAGGGUUAGGGUUAGGGUUAGGGUUGGAGUUAGGGUUAGUGUUGGAGCUAGGGUUAGGGUUGGGCUUGGAGCUAGGAUUUUUCUGAGUGCACUGAACCAACUCCCGAGUCUCUAGGACAUUCCUAAAAAAAAAUUGAUUUUUUCCCAUAGGAAUGCAUGGGUUAGGGUUAUGGUUAGGGUUAGGGUUGGAGCUAGGGUUAGGGUUAGGGUUAGGGUUGGAGUUAGGGUUAGUGUUGGAGCUAGGGUUAGGGUUGGGCUUGGAGCUAGGAUUUUUCUGAGUGCAAUGAACCAACUCCCGAGUCUCUAGGACAUUCCUAAAAAAAUUUGAUUUUUUCCCAUAGGAAUGCAUGGGUUAGGGUUAGGGUUAGGGUUGGAGCUAGGGUUAGGGUUAGGGUUGGGUUGGAGUUAGGGUUAGUGUUGGAGCUAGGGUUAGGGUUGGGCUUGGAGCUAGGAUUUUUCUGAGUGCAAUGAACCAACUCCCGAGUCUCUAGGACAUUCCUAAAAAAAUUUGAUUUUUUCCCAUAGGAAUGCAUGGGUUAGGGUUAGGGUUAGGGUUGGAGCUAGGGUUAGGGUUAGGGUUAGGGUUGGAGUUAGGGUUAGUGUUGGAGCUAGGGUUAGGGUUGGGCUUGGAGCUAGGAUUUUUCUGAGUGCAAUGAACCAACUCCCGAGUCUCUAGGACAUUCCUAAAAAAAAAUUUGAUUUUUUCCCAUAGGAAUGCAUGGGUUAGGGUUAUGGUUAGGGUUAGGGUUGGAGCUAGGGUUAGGGUUAGGGUUAGGGUUGGAGUUAGGGUUAGUGUUGGAGCUAGGGUUAGGGUUGGGCUUGGAGCUAGGAUUUUUCUGAGUGCAAUGAACCAACUCCCGAGUCUCUAGGACGUUCUAAAAAAAAUUUGAUUUUUUCCCAUAGGAAUGCAUGGGUUAGGGUUAUGGUUAGGGUUAGGGUUGGAGCUAGGGUUAGGGUUAGGGUUAGGGUUGGAGUUAGGGUUAGUGUUGGAGCUAGGGUUAGGGUUGGGCUUGGAGCUAGGAUUUUUCUGAGUGCAAUGAACCAACUCCCGAGUCUCUAGGACGUUCCUAAAAAAAUUUGAUUUUUUCCCAUAGGAAUGCAUGGGUUAGGGUUAGGGUUAGGGUUGGAGCUAGGGUUAGGGUUAGGGUUAGGGUUGGAGUUAGGGUUAGUGUUGGAGCUAGGGUUAGGGUUGGGCUUGGAGCUAGGAUUUUUCUGAGUGCAAUGAACCAACUCCCGAGUCUCUAGGACGUUCCUAAAAAAAAAUUUGAUUUUUUCCCAUAGGAAUGCAUGGGUUAGGGUUAGGGUUAGGGUUGGAGCUAGGGUUAGGGUUAGGGUUAGGGUUGGAGUUAGGGUUAGUGUUGGAGCCAGGGUUAGGGUUGGGCUUGGAGCUAGGAUUUUUCUGAGUGCACUGAACCAACUCCCGAGUCUCUAGGACAUUCCUAAAAAAUUUGAUUUUUUUCCCAUAGGAAUGCAUGGGUUAGGGUUAGUGGUUAGGGUUAGGGUUGGAGCUAGGGUUAGGGUUAGGGUUAGGGUUGGAGUUAGGGUUAGUGUUGGAGCUAGGGUUAGGGUUGGGCUUGGAGCUAGGAUUUUUCUGAGUGCAAUGAACCAACCCCCGAGUCUCUAGGACGUUCCUAAAAAAAUUUGAUUUUUUCCCUAUAGGAAUGCAUGGGUUAGGGUUAGGGUUAGGGUUGGAGCUAGGGUUAGGGUUAGGGUUAGGGUUGGAGUUAGGGUUAGUGUUGGAGCUAGGGUUAGGGUUGGGCUUGGAGCUAGGAUUUUUCUGAGUGCAAUGAACCAACUCCCGAGUCUCUAGGACGUUCCUAAAAAAAUUUGAUUUUUUCCCAUAGGAAUGCAUGGGUUAGGGUUAGGGUUAGGGUUGGAGCUAGGGUUAGGGUUAGGGUUAGGGUUGGAGUUAGGGUUAGUGUUGGAGCUAGGGUUAGGGUUGGGCUUGGAGCUAGGUUUUUCUGAGGGUGCACUGAACCAACUCCCGAGUCUCUAGGACAUUCCUAAAAAAAUUUGAUUUUUUCCCAUAGGAAUGCAUGGGUUAGGGUUAUGGUUAGGGUUGGAGCUAGGGUUAGGGUUAGGGUUAGGGUUGGAGUUAGGGUUAGUGUUGGAGCUAGGGUUAGGGUUGGGCUUGGAGCUAGGAUUUUUCUGAGUGCACUGAACCAACUCCCGAGUCUCUAGGACAUUCCUAAAAAAAUUUGAUUUUUUCCCAUAGGAAUGCAUGGGUUAGGGUUAGGGUUAGGGUUGGAGCUAGGGUUAGGGUUAGGGUUAGGGUUGGAGUUAGGGUUAGUGUUGGAGCUAGGGUUAGGGUUGGGCUUGGAGCUAGGAUUUUUCUGAGUGCACUGAACCAACUCCCGAGUCUCUAGGACAUUCCUAAAAAAAUUUGAUUUUUCCCAUAGGAAUGCAUGGGUUAGGGUUAUGGUUAGGGUUAGGGUUGGAGCUAGGGUUAGGGUUAGGGUUAGGGUUGGAGUUAGGGUUAGUGUUGGAGCUAGGGUUAGGGUUGGGCUUGGAGCUAGGAUUUUUCUGAGUGCACUGAACCAACUCCCGAGUCUCUAGGACAUUCCUAAAAAAAUUUGAUUUUUUUCCCAUAGGAAUGCAUGGGUUAGGGUUAGGGUUAUGGUUAGGGUUAGGGUUAGGGUUAGGGUUAGGGUUGGAGUUAGGGUUAGUGUUGGAGCUAGGGUUAGGGUUGGGCUUGGAGCUAGGAUUUUUCUGAGUGCACUGAACCAACUCCCGGGUCUCUAGGACAUUCCUAAAAAAAUUUGAUUUUUUCCCAUAGGAAUGCAUGGGUUAGGGUUAGGGUUAGGGUUGGAGCUAGGGUUAGGGUUAGGGUUAGGGUUGGAGUUAGGGUUAGUGUUGGAGCUAGGGUUAGGGUUGGGCUUGGAGCUAGGAUUUUUCUGAGUGCAAUGAACCAACUCCCGAGUCUCUAGGACAUUCCUAAAAAAAUUUGAUUUUUUCCCAUAGGAAUGCAUGGGUUAGGGUUAGGGUUAGGGUUGGAGCUAGGGUUAGGGUUAGGGUUAGGGUUGGAGUUAGGGUUAGUGUUGGAGCUAGGGUUAGGGUUGGGCUUGGAGCUAGGAUUUUUCUGAGUGCACUGAACCAACUCCCGAGUCUCUAGGACAUUCCUAAAAAAAUUUGAUUUUUUUCCCAUAGGAAUGCAUGGGUUAGGGUUAUGGUUAGGGUUAGGGUUGGAGCUAGGGUUAGGGUUAGGGUUAGGGUUGGAGUUAGGGUUAGUGUUGGAGCUAGGGUUAGGGUUGGGCUUGGAGCUAGGAUUUUUCUGAGUGCAAUGAACCAACCCCCGAGUCUCUAGGACGUUCCUAAAAAAAUUUGAUUUUUUCCCAUAGGAAUGCAUGGGUUAGGGUUAUGGUUAGGGUUGGAGCUAGGGUUAGGGUUAGGGUUAGGGUUGGAGUUAGGGUUAGUGUUGGAGCUAGGGUUAGGGUUGGGCUUGGAGCUAGGAUUUUUCUGAGUGCAAUGAACCAACUCCCGAGUCUCUAGGACGUUCCUAAAAAAUUUGAUUUUUUCCCAUAGGAAUGCAUGGGUUAGGGUUAGGGUUAGGGUUGGAGCUAGGGUUAGGGUUAGGGUUAGGGUUGGAGUUAGGGUUAGUGUUGGAGCUAGGGUUAGGGUUGGGCUUGGAGCUAGGAUUUUUCUGAGUGCACUGAACCAACUCCCGAGUCUCUAGGACGUUCCUAAAAAAAUUUGAUUUUUUCCCAUAGGAAUGCAUGGGUUAGGGUUAUGGUUAGGGUUAGGGUUAGGGUUGGAGUUAGGGUUAGUGUUGGAGCUAGGGUUAGGGUUGGGCUUGGAGCUAGGAUUUUUCUGAGUGCACUGAACCAACUCCCGAGUCUCUAGGACAUUCCUAAAAAAAUUUGAUUUUUUCCCAUAGGAAUGCAUGGGUUAGGGUUAGGGUUAGGGUUGGAGCUAGGGUUAGGGUUAGGGUUAGGGUUGGAGUUAGGGUUAGUGUUGGAGCUAGGGUUAGGGUUGGGCUUGGAGCUAGGAUUUUUCUGAGUGCACUGAACCAACUCCCGAGUCUCUAGGACAUUCCUAAAAAAAUUUGAUUUUUUCCUAUAGGAAUGCAUGGGUUAGGGUUAUGGUUAGGGUUAGGGUUGGAGCUAGGGUUAGGGUUAGGGUUAGGGUUGGAGUUAGGGUUAGUGUUGGAGCUAGGGUUAGGGUUGGGCUUGGAGCUAGGAUUUUUCUGAGUGCACUGAACCAACUCCCGAGUCUCUAGGACAUUCCUAAAAAAAUUUGAUUUUUUCCCAUAGGAAUGCAUGGGUUAGGGUUAGGGUUAGGGUUGGAGCUAGGGUUAGGGUUAGGGUUAGGGUUGGAGUUAGGGUUAGUGUUGGAGCUAGGGUUAGGGUUGGGCUUGGAGCUAGGAUUUUUCUGAGUGCACUGAACCAACUCCCGAGUCUCUAGGACAUUCCUAAAAAAAUUUGAUUUUUUCCUAUAGGAAUGCAUGGGUUAGGGUUAUGGUUAGGGUUAGGGUUGGAGCUAGGGUUAGGGUUAGGGUUAGGGUUGGAGUUAGGGUUAGUGUUGGAGCUAGGGUUAGGGUUGGGCUUGGAGCUAGGAUUUUUCUGAGUGCACUGAACCAACUCCCGAGUCUCUAGGACAUUCCUAAAAAAAUUUGAUUUUUUCCCAUAGGAAUGCAUGGGUUAGGGUUAUGGUUAGGGUAAGGGUUGGAGCUAGGGUUAGGGUUAGGGUUAGGGUUGGAGUUAGGGUUAGUGUUGGAGCUAGGGUUAGGGUUGGGCUUGGAGCUAGGAUUUUUCUGAGUGCAAUGAACCAACUCCCGAGUCUCUAGGACGUUCCUAAAAAAAUUUGAUUUUUUCCCAUAGGAAUGCAUGGGUUAGGGUUAGGGUUAGGGUUGGAGCUAGUGUUAGGGUUAGGGAUAGGGUUGGAGUUAAGGUUAGUGUUGGAGCUAGGGUUAGGGUUGGGCUUGGAGCUAGGAUUUUUCUGAGUGCACUGAACCAACUCCCGAGUCUCUAGGACGUUCCUAAAAAAAUUUGAUUUUUUCCCAUAGGAAUGCAUGGGUUAGGGUUAUGGUUAGGGUUGGAGCUAGGGUUAGGGUUAGGGUUAGGGUUGGAGUUAGGGUUAGUGUUGGAGCUAGGGUUAGGGUUGGGCUUGGAGCUAGGAUUUUUCUGAGUGCAAUGAACCAACUCCCGAGUCUCUAGGACGUUCCUAAAAAAAUUUGAUUUUUUCCCAUAGGAAUGCAUGGGUUAGGGUUAGGGUUAGGGUUGGAGCUAGGGUUAGGGUUAGGGUUAGGGUUGGAGUUAGGGUUAGUGUUGGAGCUAGGGUUAGGGUUGGGCUUGGAGCUAGGAUUUUUCUGAGUGCACUGAACCAACUCCCGAGUCUCUAGGACGUUCCUAAAAAAAUUUGAUUUUUUCCCAUAGGAAUGCAUGGGUUAGGGUUAGGGUUAGGGUUAGGGUUGGAGCUAGGGUUAGGGUUAGGGUUAGGGUUGGAGUUAGGGUUGGGCUUGGAGCUAGGGUUAGGGUUGGGCUUGGAGCUAGGAUUUUUCUGAGUGCAAUGAACCAACCCCGAGUCUCUAGGACGUUCCUAAAAAAUCUGAUUUUUUCCCAUAGGAAUGCAUGGGUUAGGGUUAUGGUUAGGGUUAGGGUUGGAGCUAGGGUUAGGGUUAGGGUUAGGGUUGGAGUUAGGGUUAGUGUUGGAGCUAGGGUUAGGCUUGGGCUUGGAGCUAGGAUUUUUCUGAGUGCAAUGAACCAACUCCCGAGUCUCUAGGACGUUCCUAAAAAAAUUUGAUUUUUUCCCAUAGGAAUGCAUGGGUUAGGGUUAGGGUUAGGGUUGGAGCUAGGGUUAGGGUUAGGGUUAGGGUUGGAGUUAGGGUUAGUGUUGGAGCUAGGGUUAGGGUUGGGCUUGGAGCUAGGAUUUUUCUGAGUGCACUGAACCAACUCCCGAGUCUCUAGGACAUUCCUAAAAAAAUUUGAUUUUUUCCCAUAGGAAUGCAUGGGUUAGGGUUAGGGUUAGGGUUGGAGCUAGGGUUAGGGUUAGGGUUAGGGUUGGAGUUAGGGUUAGUGUUGGAGCUAGGGUUAGGGUUGGGCUUGGAGCUAGGAUUUUUCUGAGUGCACUGAACCAACUCCCGAGUCUCUAGGACAUUCCUAAAAAAUUUGAUUUUUUCCCAUAGGAAUGCAUGGGUUAGGGUUAUGGUUAGGGUUAGGGUUGGAGCUAGGGUUAGGGUUAGGGUUAGGGUUGGAGUUAGGGUUAGUGUUGGAGCUAGGGUUAGGGUUGGGCUUGGAGCUAGGAUUUUUCUGAGUGCAAUGAACCAACUCCCGAGUCUCUUGGACGUUCCUAAAAAAAUUUGAUUUUUUUCCCAUAGGAAUGCAUGGGUUAGGGUUAGGGUUAGGGUUGGAGCUAGGGUUAGGGUUAGGGUUAGGGUUGGAGUUAGGGUUAGUGUUGGAGCUAGGGUUAGGGUUGGGCUUGGAGCUAGGAUUUUUCUGAGUGCACUGAACCAACUCCCGAGUCUCUAGGACAUUCCUAAAAAAAUUUGAUUUUUUCCCAUAGGAAUGCAUGGGUUAGGGUUAGGGUUAGGGUUGGAGCUAGGGUUAGGGUUAGGGUUAGGGUUGGAGUUAGGGUUAGUGUUGGAGCUAGGGUUAGGGUUGGGCUUGGAGCUAGGAUUUUUCUGAGUGCACUGAACCAACUCCCGAGUCUCUAGGACAUUCCUAAAAAAAUUUGAUUUUUUCCCAUAGGAAUGCAUGGGUUAGGGUUAUGGUUAGGGUUAGGGUUGGAGCUAGGGUUAGGGUUAGGGUUAGGGUUGGAGUUAGGGUUAGUGUUGGAGCUAGGGUUAGGGUUGGGCUUGGAGCUAGGAUUUUUCUGAGUGCACUGAACCAACUCCCGAGUCUCUAGGACAUUCCUAAAAAAAUUUGAUUUUUUCCCAUAGGAAUGCAUGGGUUAGGGUUAGGGUUAGGGUUGGAGCUAGGGUUAGGGUUAGGGUUAGGGUUGGAGUUAGGGUUAGUGUUGGAGCUAGGGUUAGGGUUGGGCUUGGAGCUAGGAUUUUUCUGAGUGCACUGAACCAACUCCCGAGUCUCUAGGACAUUCCUAAAAAAAUUUGAUUUUUUCCCAUAGGAAUGCAUGGGUUAGGGUUAUGGUUAGGGUUAGGGUUGGAGCUAGGGUUAGGGUUAGGGUUAGGGUUGGAGUUAGGGUUAGUGUUGGAGCUAGGGUUAGGGUUGGGCUUGGAGCUAGGAUUUUUCUGAGUGCAAUGAACCAACUCCCGAGUCUCUUGGACGUUCCUAAAAAAAUUUGAUUUUUUCCCAUAGGAAUGCAUGGGUUAGGGUUAGGGUUAGGGUUGGAGCUAGGGUUAGGGUUAGGGUUAGGGUUGGAGUUAGGGUUAGUGUUGGAGCUAGGGUUAGGGUUGGGCUUGGAGCUAGGAUUUUUCUGAGUGCACUGAACCAACUCCCGAGUCUCUAGGACAUUCCUAAAAAAAUUUGAUUUUUUCCCAUAGGAAUGCAUGGGUUAGGGUUAGGGUUAGGGUUGGAGCUAGGGUUAGGGUUAGGGUUAGGGUUGGAGUUAGGGUUAGUGUUGGAGCUAGGGUUAGGGUUGGGCUUGGAGCUAGGAUUUUUCUGAGUGCAAUGAACCAACUCCCGAGUCUCUUGGACGUUCCUAAAAAAAUUUGAUUUUUUCCCAUAGGAAUGCAUGGGUUAGGGUUAGGGUUAGGGUUGGAGCUAGGGUUAGGGUUAGGGUUAGGGUUGGAGUUAGGGUUAGUGUUGGAGCUAGGGUAGGGUUGGGCUUGGAGCUAGGAUUUUUCUGAGUGCAAUGAACCAACUCCCGAGUCUCUUGGACGUUCCUAAAAAAAUUUGAUUUUUUCCCAUAGGAAUGCAUGGGUUAGGGUUAGGGUUAGGGUUGGAGCUAGGGUUAGGGUUAGGGUUAGGGUUGGAGUUAGGGUUAGUGUUGGAGCUAGGGUUAGGGUUGGGCUUGGAGCUAGGAUUUUUCUGAGUGCAAUGAACCAACUCCCGGGUCUCUAGGACGUUCCUAAAAAAAUUUGAUUUUUUCCCAUAGGAAUGCAUGGGUAAGGGUUAGGGUUAGGGUUGGAGCUAGGAUUAGGGUUAGGGUUAGGGUUGGAGUUAAGGUUAGUGUUGGAGCUAGGGUUAGGGUUGGGCUUGGAGCUAGGAUUUUUCUGAGUGCAAUGAACCAACUCCCGAGUCUCUAGGACGUUCCUAAAAAAAUUUGAUUUUUUCCCAUAGGAAUGCAUGGGUUAGGGUUAUGGUUAGGGUUAGGGUUGGAGCUAGGGUUAGGGUUAGGGUUAGGGUUGGAGUUAGGGUUAGUGUUGGAGCUAGGGUUAGGGUUGGGCUUGGAGCUAGGAUUUUUCUGAGUGCAAUGAACCAACCCCCGAGUCUCUAGGACGUUCCUAAAAAAUUUGAUUUUUUCCCAUAGGAAUGCAUGGGUUAGGGUUAUGGUUAGGGUUAGGGUUGGAGCUAGGGUUAGGGUUAGGGUUAGGGUUGGAGUUAGGGUUAGUGUUGGAGCUAGGGUUAGGGUUGGGCUUGGAGCUAGGAUUUUUCUGAGUGCAAUGAACCAACUCCCGAGUCUCUAGGACGUUCCUAAAAAAAUUUGAUUUUUUCCCAUAGGAAUGCAUGGGUUAGGGUUAGGGUUAGGGUUGGAGCUAGGGUUAGGGUUAGGGUUAGGGUUGGAGUUAGGGUUAGUGUUGGAGCUAGGGUUAGGGUUGGGCUUGGAGCUAGGAUUUUUCUGAGUGCACUGAACCAACUCCCGAGUCUCUAGGACAUUCCUAAAAAAAUUUGAUUUUUUCCCAUAGGAAUGCAUGGGUUAGGGUUAGGGUUAGGGUUGGAGCUAGGGUUAGGGUUAGGGUUAGGGUUGGAGUUAGGGUUAGUGUUGGAGCUAGGGUUAGGGUUGGGCUUGGAGCUAGGAUUUUUCUGAGUGCACUGAACCAACUCCCGAGUCUCUAGGACAUUCCUAAAAAAAUUUGAUUUUUUCCUAUAGGAAUGCAUGGGUUAGGGUUAUGGUUAGGGUUAGGGUUGGAGCUAGGGUUAGGGUUAGGGUUAGGGUUGGAGUUAGGGUUAGUGUUGGAGCUAGGGUUAGGGUUGGGCUUGGAGCUAGGAUUUUUCUGAGUGCACUGAACCAACUCCCGAGUCUCUAGGACAUUCCUAAAAAAAUUUGAUUUUUUCCCAUAGGAAUGCAUGGGUUAGGGUUAGGGUUAGGGUUGGAGCUAGGGUUAGGGUUAGGGUUAGGGUUGGAGUUAGGGUUAGUGUUGGAGCUAGGGUUAGGGUUGGGCUUGGAGCUAGGAUUUUUCUGAGUGCACUGAACCAACUCCCGAGUCUCUAGGACAUUCCUAAAAAAAUUUGAUUUUUUCCUAUAGGAAUGCAUGGGUUAGGGUUAUGGUUAGGGUUAGGGUUGGAGCUAGGGUUAGGGUUAGGGUUAGGGUUGGAGUUAGGGUUAGUGUUGGAGCUAGGGUUAGGGUUGGGCUUGGAGCUAGGAUUUUUCUGAGUGCACUGAACCAACUCCCGAGUCUCUAGGACAUUCCUAAAAAAAUUUGAUUUUUUCCCAUAGGAAUGCAUGGGUUAGGGUUAUGGUUAGGGUAAGGGUUGGAGCUAGGGUUAGGGUUAGGGUUAGGGUUGGAGUUAGGGUUAGUGUUGGAGCUAGGGUUAGGGUUGGGCUUGGAGCUAGGAUUUUUCUGAGUGCAAUGAACCAACUCCCGAGUCUCUAGGACGUUCCUAAAAAAAUUUGAUUUUUUCCCAUAGGAAUGCAUGGGUUAGGGUUAGGGUUAGGGUUGGAGCUAGUGUUAGGGUUAGGGAUAGGGUUGGAGUUAAGGUUAGUGUUGGAGCUAGGGUUAGGGUUGGGCUUGGAGCUAGGAUUUUUCUGAGUGCAAUGAACCAACUCCCGAGUCUCUAGGACGUUCCUAAAAAAAUUUGAUUUUUUCCCAUAGGAAUGCAUGGGUUAGGGUUAUGGUUAGGGUAAGGGUUGGAGCUAGGGUUAGGGUUAGGGUUAGGGUUGGAGUUAGGGUUAGUGUUGGAGCUAGGGUUAGGGUUGGGCUUGGAGCUAGGAUUUUUCUGAGUGCAAUGAACCAACUCCCGAGUCUCUAGGACGUUCCUAAAAAAAUUUGAUUUUUUCCCAUAGGAAUGCAUGGGUUAGGGUUAGGGUUAGGGUUGGAGCUAGGGUUAGGGUUAGGGAUAGGGUUGGAGUUAAGGUUAGUGUUGGAGCUAGGGUUAGGGUUGGGCUUGGAGCUAGGAUUUUUCUGAGUGCACUGAACCAACUCCCGAGUCUCUAGGACGUUCCUAAAAAAAUUUGAUUUUUUCCCAUAGGAAUGCAUGGGUUAGGGUUAGGGUUAGGGUUAGGGUUGGAGCUAGGGUUAGGGUUAGGGUUAGGGUUGGAGUUAGGGUUGGGCUUGGAGCUAGGGUUAGGGUUGGGCUUGGAGCUAGGAUUUUUCUGAGUGCAAUGAACCAACCCCCGAGUCUCUAGGACGUUCCUAAAAAAAUCUGAUUUUUUCCCAUAGGAAUGCAUGGGUUAGGGUUAUGGUUAGGGUUAGGGUUGGAGCUAGGGUUAGGGUUAGGGUUAGGGUUGGAGUUAGGGUUAGUGUUGGAGCUAGGGUUAGGCUUGGGCUUGGAGCUAGGAUUUUUCUGAGUGCAAUGAACCAACUCCCGAGUCUCUAGGACGUUCCUAAAAAAAUUUGAUUUUUUCCCAUAGGAAUGCAUGGGUUAGGGUUAGGGUUAGGGUUGGAGCUAGGGUUAGGGUUAGGGUUAGGGUUGGAGUUAGGGUUAGUGUUGGAGCUAGGGUUAGGGUUGGGCUUGGAGCUAGGAUUUUUCUGAGUGCACUGAACCAACUCCCGAGUCUCUAGGACAUUCCUAAAAAAAUUUGAUUUUUUCCCAUUGGAAUGCAUGGGUUAGGGUUAGGGUUAGGGUUGGAGCUAGGGUUAGGGUUAGGGUUAGGGUUGGAGUUAGGGUUAGUGUUGGAGCUAGGGUUAGGGUUGGGCUUGGAGCUAGGAUUUUUCUGAGUGCACUGAACCAACUCCCGAGUCUCUAGGACAUUCCUAAAAAAAUUUGAUUUUUUCCCAUAGGAAUGCAUGGGUUAGGGUUAUGGUUAGGGUUAGGGUUGGAGCUAGGGUUAGGGUUAGGGUUAGGGUUGGAGUUAGGGUUAGUGUUGGAGCUAGGGUUAGGGUUGGGCUUGGAGCUAGGAUUUUUCUGAGUGCAAUGAACCAACUCCCGAGUCUCUUGGACGUUCCUAAAAAAAUUUGAUUUUUUCCCAUAGGAAUGCAUGGGUUAGGGUUAGGGUUAGGGUUGGAGCUAGGGUUAGGGUUAGGGUUAGGGUUGGAGUUAGGGUUAGUGUUGGAGCUAGGGUUAGGGUUGGGCUUGGAGCUAGGAUUUUUCUGAGUGCACUGAACCAACUCCCGAGUCUCUAGGACAUUCCUAAAAAAAUUUGAUUUUUUCCCAUAGGAAUGCAUGGGUUAGGGUUAGGGUUAGGGUUGGAGCUAGGGUUAGGGUUAGGGUUAGGGUUGGAGUUAGGGUUAGUGUUGGAGCUAGGGUUAGGGUUGGGCUUGGAGCUAGGAUUUUUCUGAGUGCACUGAACCAACUCCCGAGUCUCUAGGACAUUCCUAAAAAAAUUUGAUUUUUUCCCAUAGGAAUGCAUGGGUUAGGGUUAUGGUUAGGGUUAGGGUUGGAGCUAGGGUUAGGGUUAGGGUUAGGGUUGGAGUUAGGGUUAGUGUUGGAGCUAGGGUUAGGGUUGGGCUUGGAGCUAGGAUUUUUCUGAGUGCACUGAACCAACUCCCGAGUCUCUAGGACAUUCCUAAAAAAAUUUGAUUUUUUCCCAUAGGAAUGCAUGGGUUAGGGUUAGGGUUAGGGUUGGAGCUAGGGUUAGGGUUAGGGUUAGGGUUGGAGUUAGGGUUAGUGUUGGAGCUAGGGUUAGGGUUGGGCUUGGAGCUAGGAUUUUUCUGAGUGCACUGAACCAACUCCCGAGUCUCUAGGACAUUCCUAAAAAAAUUUGAUUUUUUCCCAUAGGAAUGCAUGGGUUAGGGUUAUGGUUAGGGUUAGGGUUGGAGCUAGGGUUAGGGUUAGGGUUAGGGUUGGAGUUAGGGUUAGUGUUGGAGCUAGGGUUAGGGUUGGGCUUGGAGCUAGGAUUUUUCUGAGUGCAAUGAACCAACUCCCGAGUCUCUUGGACGUUCCUAAAAAAAUUUGAUUUUUUCCCAUAGGAAUGCAUGGGUUAGGGUUAGGGUUAGGGUUGGAGCUAGGGUUAGGGUUAGGGUUAGGGUUGGAGUUAGGGUUAGUGUUGGAGCUAGGGUUAGGGUUGGGCUUGGAGCUAGGAUUUUUCUGAGUGCACUGAACCAACUCCCGAGUCUCUAGGACAUUCCUAAAAAAAUUUGAUUUUUUCCCAUAGGAAUGCAUGGGUUAGGGUUAGGGUUAGGGUUGGAGCUAGGGUUAGGGUUAGGGUUAGGGUUGGAGUUAGGGUUAGUGUUGGAGCUAGGGUUAGGGUUGGGCUUGGAGCUAGGAUUUUUCUGAGUGCAAUGAACCAACUCCCGAGUCUCUUGGACGUUCCUAAAAAAAUUUGAUUUUUUCCCAUAGGAAUGCAUGGGUUAGGGUUAGGGUUAGGGUUGGAGCUAGGGUUAGGGUUAGGGUUAGGGUUGGAGUUAGGGUUAGUGUUGGAGCUAGGGAUAGGGUUGGGCUUGGAGCUAGGAUUUUUCUGAGUGCAAUGAACCAACUCCCGAGUCUCUUGGACGUUCCUAAAAAAAUUUGAUUUUUUCCCAUAGGAAUGCAUGGGUUAGGGUUAGGGUUAGGGUUGGAGCUAGGGUUAGGGUUAGGGUUAGGGUUGGAGUUAGGGUUAGUGUUGGAGCUAGGGUUAGGGUUGGGCUUGGAGCUAGGAUUUUUCUGAGUGCAAUGAACCAACUCCCGGGUCUCUAGGACGUUCCUAAAAAAAUUUGAUUUUUUCCCAUAGGAAUGCAUGGGUAAGGGUUAGGGUUAGGGUUGGAGCUAGGAUUAGGGUUAGGGUUAGGGUUGGAGUUAAGGUUAGUGUUGGAGCUAGGGUUAGGGUUGGGCUUGGAGCUAGGAUUUUUCUGAGUGCAAUGAACCAACUCCCGAGUCUCUAGGACGUUCCUAAAAAAAUUUGAUUUUUUCCCAUAGGAAUGCAUGGGUUAGGGUUAUGGUUAGGGUUAGGGUUGGAGCUAGGGUUAGGGUUAGGGUUAGGGUUGGAGUUAGGGUUAGUGUUGGAGCUAGGGUUAGGGUUGGGCUUGGAGCUAGGAUUUUUCUGAGUGCAAUGAACCAACCCCCGAGUCUCUAGGACGUUCCUAAAAAAUUUGAUUUUUUCCCAUAGGAAUGCAUGGGUUAGGGUUAUGGUUAGGGUUAGGGUUGGAGCUAGGGUUAGGGUUAGGGUUAGGGUUGGAGUUAGGGUUAGUGUUGGAGCUAGGGUUAGGGUUGGGCUUGGAGCUAGGAUUUUUCUGAGUGCAAUGAACCAACUCCCGAGUCUCUAGGACGUUCCUAAAAAAUUUGAUUUUUUCCCAUAGGAAUGCAUGGGUUAGGGUUAGGGUUAGGGUUGGAGCUAGGGUUAGGGUUAGGGUUAGGGUUGGAGUUAGGGUUAGUGUUGGAGCUAGGGUUAGGGUUGGGCUUGGAGCUAGGAUUUUUCUUAGUGCAGUGAACCAACUCCCGAGUCUCUAGGACAUUCCUAAAAAAUUUGAUUUUUUCCCAUAGGAAUGCAUGGGUUAGGGUUAGGGUUAGGGUUGGAGCUAGGGUUAGGGUUAGGGUUAGGGUUGGAGUUAGGGUUAGUGUUGGAGCUAGGGUUAGGGUUGGGCUUGGAGCUAGGAUUUUUCUGAGUGCACUGAACCAACUCCCGAGUCUCUAGGACAUUCCUAAAAAAAUUUGAUUUUUUCCCAUAGGAAUGCAUGGGUUAGGGUUAUGGUUAGGGUUAGGGUUGGAGCUAGGGUUAGGGUUAGGGUUAGGGUUGGAGUUAGGGUUAGUGUUGGAGCUAGGGUUAGGGUUGGGCUUGGAGCUAGGAUUUUUCUGAGUGCAAUGAACCAACUCCCGAGUCUCUUGGACGUUCCUAAAAAAAUUUGAUUUUUUCCCAUAGGAAUGCAUGGGUUAGGGUUAGGGUUAGGGUUGGAGCUAGGGUUAGGGUUAGGGUUAGGGUUGGAGUUAGGGUUAGUGUUGGAGCUAGGGUUAGGGUUGGGCUUGGAGCUAGGAUUUUUCUGAGUGCACUGAACCAACUCCCGAGUCUCUAGGACAUUCCUAAAAAAAUUUGAUUUUUUCCCAUAGGAAUGCAUGGGUUAGGGUUAGGGUUAGGGUUGGAGCUAGGGUUAGGGUUAGGGUUAGGGUUGGAGUUAGGGUUAGUGUUGGAGCUAGGGUUAGGGUUGGGCUUGGAGCUAGGAUUUUUCUGAGUGCACUGAACCAACUCCCGAGUCUCUAGGACAUUCCUAAAAAAAUUUGAUUUUUUCCCAUAGGAAUGCAUGGGUUAGGGUUAUGGUUAGGGUUAGGGUUGGAGCUAGGGUUAGGGUUAGGGUUAGGGUUGGAGUUAGGGUUAGUGUUGGAGCUAGGGUUAGGGUUGGGCUUGGAGCUAGGAUUUUUCUGAGUGCAAUGAACCAACUCCCGAGUCUCUUGGACGUUCCUAAAAAAAUGUGAUUUUUUCCCAUAGGAAUGCAUGGGUUAGGGUUAGGGUUAGGGUUGGAGCUAGGGUUAGGGUUAGGGUUAGGGUUGGAGUUAGGGUUAGUGUUGGAGCUAGGGUUAGGGUUGGGCUUGGAGCUAGGAUUUUUCUGAGUGCACUGAACCAACUCCCGAGUCUCUAGGACAUUCCUAAAAAAAUUUGAUUUUUUCCCAUAGGAAUGCAUGGGUUAGGGUUAGGGUUAGGGUUGGAGCUAGGGUUAGGGUUAGGGUUAGGGUUGGAGUUAGGGUUAGUGUUGGAGCUAGGGUUAGGGUUGGGCUUGGAGCUAGGAUUUUUCUGAGUGCACUGAACCAACUCCCGAGUCUCUAGGACAUUCCUAAAAAAAUUUGAUUUUUUCCCAUAGGAAUGCAUGGGUUAGGGUUAUGGUUAGGGUUAGGGUUGGAGCUAGGGUUAGGGUUAGGGUUAGGGUUGGAGUUAGGGUUAGUGUUGGAGCUAGGGUUAGGGUUGGGCUUGGAGCUAGGAUUUUUCUGAGUGCAAUGAACCAACUCCCGAGUCUCUUGGACGUUCCUAAAAAAAUUUGAUUUUUUCCCAUAGGAAUGCAUGGGUUAGGGUUAGGGUUAGGGUUGGAGCUAGGGUUAGGGUUAGGGUUAGGGUUGGAGUUAGGGUUAGUGUUGGAGCUAGGGUUAGGGUUGGGCUUGGAACUAGGAUUUUUCUGAGUGCAAUGAACCAACUCCCGAGUCUCUAGGACGUUCCUAAAAAAAUUUGAUUUUUUCCCAUAGGAAUGCAUGGGUUAGGGUUAGGGUUAGGGUUGGAGCUAGGGUUAGGGUUAGGGUUAGGGUUGGAGUUAAGGUUAGUGUUGGAGCUAGGGUUAGGGUUGGGCUUGGAGCUAGGAUUUUUCUGAGUGCAAUGAACCAACUCCCGAGUCUCUAGGACGUUCCUAAAAAAAUUUGAUUUUUUCCCAUAGGAAUGCAUGGGUUAGGGUUAUGGUUAGGGUUAGGGUUGGAGCUAGGGUUAGGGUAAGGGUUAGGGUUGGAGUUAGGGUUAGUGUUGGAGCUAGGGUUAGGGUUGGGCUUGGAGCUAGGAUUUUUCUGAGUGCAAUGAACCAACCCCCGAGUCUCUAGGACGUUCCUAAAAAAAUUUGAUUUUUUCCCAUAGGAAUGCAUGGGUUAGGGUUAUGGUUAGGGUUAGGGUUGGAGCUAGGGUUAGGGUUAGGGUUGGAGUUAGGGUUAGUGUUGGAGCUAGGGUUAGGGUUGGGCUUGGAGCUAGGAUUUUUCUGAGUGCAAUGAACCAACUCCCGAGUCUCUAGGACAUUCCUAAAAAAAUUUGAUUUUUUUCCCAUAGGAAUGCAUGGGUUAGGGUUAGGGUUAGGGUUGGAGCUAGGGUUAGGGUUAGGGUUAGGGUUGGAGUUAGGGUUAGUGUUGGAGCUAGGGUUAGGGUUGGGCUUGGAGCUAGGAUUUUUCUGAGUGCAAUGAACCAACUCCCGAGUCUCUAGGACGUUCCUAAAAAAAUUUGAUUUUUUCCCAUAGGAAUGCAUGGGUUAGGGUUAGGGUUAGGGUUGGAGCUAGGGUUAGGGUUAGGGUUAGGGUUGGAGUUAGGGUUAGUGUUGGAGCUAGGGUUAGGGUUGGGCUUGGAGCUAGGAUUUUUCUGAGUGCACUGAACCAACUCCUGAGUCUCUAGGACAUUCCUAAAAAAAUUGAUUUUUUCCCAUAGGAAUGCAUGGGUUAGGGUUAGGGUUAGGGUUGGAGCUAGGGUUAGGGUUAGGGUUAGGGUUGGAGUUAGGGUUAGUGUUGGAGCUAGGGUUAGGGUUGGGCUUGGAGCUAGGAUUUUUCUGAGUGCACUGAACCAACUCCCGAGUCUCUAGGACAUUCCUAAAAAAAUUUGAUUUUUUCCCAUAGGAAUGCAUGGGUUAGGGUUAGGGUUAGGGUUGGAGCUAGGGUUAGGGUUAGGGUUAGGGUUGGAGUUAGGGUUAGUGUUGGAGCUAGGGUUAGGGUUGGGCUUGGAGCUAGGAUUUUUCUGGGUGCAAUGAACCAACUCCCGAGUCUCUUGGACGUUCCUAAAAAAUUUGAUUUUUUCCCAUUGCAAUGCAUUUGUUAGGGUUAGGGUUAGGGUUAGGGUUAGGGUUGGAGCUAGGGUUAGGGUUAGGGUUAGGGUUGGAGUUAGGGUUAGUGUUGGAGCUAGGGUUAGGGUUGGGCUUGGAGCUAGGAUUUUUCUGAGUGCAAUGAACCAACUCCCGAGUCUCUAGGACGUUCCUAAAAAAAUUUGAUUUUUUCCCAUAGGAAUGCAUGGGUUAGGGUUAUGGUUAGGGUUAGGGUUGGAGCUAGGGUUAGGGUUAGGGUUAGGGUUGGAGUUAGGGUUAGUGUUGGAGCUAGGGUUAGGGUUGGGCUUGGAGCUAGGAUUUUUCUGAGUGCAAUGAACCAACCCCCGAGUCUCUAGGACGUUCCUAAAAAAAUUUGAUUUUUUCCCAUAGGAAUGCAUGGGUUAGGGUUAUGGUUAGGGUUAGGGUUGGAGCUAGGGUUAGGGUUAGGGUUAGGGUUGGAGUUAGGGUUAGUGUUGGAGCUAGGGUUAGGGUUGGGCUUGGAGCUAGGAUUUUUCUGAGUGCAAUGAACCAACUCCCGAGUCUCUAGGACGUUCCUAAAAAAAUUUGAUUUUUUCCCAUAGGAAUGCAUGGGUUAGGGUUAGGGUUAGGGUUGGAGCUAGGGUUAGGGUUAGGGUUAGGGUUGGAGUUAGGGUUAGUGUUGGAGCUAGGGUUAGGGUUGGGCUUGGAGCUAGGAUUUUUCUGAGUGCAAUGAACCAACUCCCGAAUCUCUAGGACAUUCCUAAAAAAAUUUGAUUUUUUCCCAUAGGAAUGCAUGGGUUAGGGUUAGGGUUAGGGUUGGAGCUAGGGUUAGGGUUAGGGUUAGGGUUGGAGUUAGGGUUAGUGUUGGAGCUAGGGUUAGGGUUGGGCUUGGAGCUAGGAUUUUUCUGAGUGCACUGAACCAACUCCCGAGUCUCUAGGACAUUCCAAAAAAAAUUUGAUUUUUUCCCAUAGGAAUGCAUGGGUUAGGGUUAUGGUUAGGGUUAGGGUUGGAGCUAGGGUUAGGGUUAGGGUUAGGGUUGGAGUUAGGGUUAGUGUUGGAGCUAGGGUUAGGGUUGGGCUUGGAGCUAGGAUUUUUCUGAGUGCAAUGAACCAACUCCCGAGUCUCUUGGACGUUCCUAAAAAAAUUUGAAUUUUUCCAAUAGGAAUGCAUGGGUUAGGGUUAGGGUUAGGGUUGGAGCUAGGGUUAGGGUUAGGGUUAGGGUUGGAGUUAGGGUUAGUGUUGGAGCUAGGGUUAGGGUUGGGCUUGGAGCUAGGAUUUUUCUGAGUGCACUGAACCAACUCCCGAGUCUCUAGGACGUUCCUAAAAAAAUUUGAUUUUUUCCCAUAGGAAUGCAUGGGUUAGGGUUAGGGUUAGGGUUGGAGCUAGGGUUAGGGUUAGGGUUAGGGUUGGAGUUAGGGUUAGUGUUGGAGCUAGGGUUAGGGUUGGGCUUGGAGCUAGGAUUUUUCUGAGUGCACUGAACCAACUCCUGAGUCUCUAGGACAUUCCUAAAAAAAUUGAUUUUUUCCCAUAGGAAUGCAUGGGUUAGGGUUAGGGUUAGGGUUGGAGCUAGGGUUAGGGUUAGGGUUAGGGUUGGAGUUAGGGUUAGUGUUGGAGCUAGGGUUAGGGUUGGGCUUGGAGCUAGGAUUUUUCUGAGUGCACUGAACCAACUCCCGAGUCUCUAGGACAUUCCUAAAAAAAAUUGAUUUUUUCCCAUAGGAAUGCAUGGGUUAGGGUUAGGGUUAGGGUUGGAGCUAGGGUUAGGGUUAGGGUUAGGGUUGGAGUUAGGGUUAGUGUUGGAGCUAGGGUUAGGGUUGGGCUUGGAGCUAGGAUUUUUCUGAGUGCACUGAACCAACUCCCGAGUCUCUAGGACAUUCCUAAAAAAAUUUGAUUUUUUCCCAUAGGAAUGCAUGGGUUAGGGUUAUGGUUAGGGUUAGGGUUAGGGUUGGAGUUAGGGUUAGUGUUGGAGCUAGGGUUAGGGUUGGGCUUGGAGCUAGGAUUUUUCUGAGUGCAAUGAACCAACUCCCGAGUCUCUUGGACGUUCCUAAAAAAAAUUGAUUUUUUCCCAUAGGAAUGCAUGGGUUAGGGUUAGGGUUAGGGUUGGAGCUAGGGUUAGGGUUAGGGUUAGGGUUGGAGUUAGGGUUAGUGUUGGAGCUAGGGUUAGGGUUGGGCUUGGAGCUAGGAUUUUUCUGAGUGCAAUGAACCAACUCCCGAGUCUCUAGGACGUUCCUAAAAAAUUUGAUUUUUUCCCAUAGGAAUGCAUGGGUUAGGGUUAGGGUUAGGGUUGGAGCUAGGGUUAGGGUUAGGGUUAGGGUUCGAGUUAAGGUUAGUGUUGGAGCUAGGGUUAGGGUUGGGCUUGGAGCUAGGAUUUUUCUGAGUGCAAUGAACCAACUCCCGAGUCUCUAGGACGUUCCUAAAAAAAUUUGAUUUUUUCCCAUAGGAAUGCAUGGGUUAGGGUUAUGGUUAGGGUUAGGGUUGGAGCUAGGGUUAGGGUUAGGGUUAGGGUUGGAGUAAGGGUUAGUGUUGGAGCUAGGGUUAGGGUUGGGCUUGGAGCUAGGAUUUUUCUGAGUGCAAUGAACCAACCCCCGAGUCUCUAGGACGUUCCUAAAAAAUUUGAUUUUUUCCCAUAGGAAUGCAUGGAUUAGGGUUAGGGUUAGGGUUGGAGCUAGGGUUAGGGUUAGGGUUAGGGUUGGAGUUAGGGUUAGUGUUGGAGCUAGGGUUAGGGUUGGGCUUGGAGCUAGGAUUUUUCUGAGUGCAAUGAACCAACUCCCGAGUCUCUAGGACGUUCCUAAAAAAAUUUGAUUUUUUCCCAUAGGAAUGCAUGGGUUAGGGUUAGGGUUAGGGUUGGAGCUAGGGUUAGGGUUAGGGUUAGGGUUGGAGUUAGGGUUAGUGUUGGAGCUAGGGUUAGGGUUGGGCUUGGAGCUAGGAUUUUUCUGAGUGCACUGAACCAACUCCCGAGUCUCUAGGACAUUCCUAAAAAAAUUUGAUUUUUUCCCAUAGGAAUGCAUGGGUUAGGGUUAGGGUUAGGGUUGGAGCUAGGGUUAGGGUUAGGGUUAGGGUUGGAGUUAGGGUUAGUGUUGGAGCUAGGGUUAGGGUUGGGCUUGGAGCUAGGAUUUUUCUGAGUGCACUGAACCAACUCCCGAGUCUCUAGGACAUUCCUAAAAAAUUUGAUUUUUUCCCAUAGGAAUGCAUGGGUUAGGGUUAGGGUUAGGGUUGGAGCUAGGGUUAGGGUUAGGGUUAGGGUUGGAGUUAGGGUUAGUGUUGGAGCUAGGGUUAGGGUUGGGCUUGGAGCUAGGAUUUUUCUGAGUGCAAUGAACCAACCCCCGAGUCUCUAGGACGUCCCAAAAAAAAUUUGAUUUUUUCCCAUAGGAAUGCAUGGGUUAGGGUUAUGGUAAGGGUUAGGGUUGGAGCUAGGGUUAGGGUUAGGGUUAGGGUUGGAGUUAGGGUUAGUGUUGGAGCUAGGGUUAGGGUUGGGCUUGGAGCUAGGAUUUUUCUGAGUGCAAUGAACCAACUCCCGAGUCUCUAGGACAUUCCUAAAAAAAUUUGAUUUUUUCCCAUAGGAAUGCAUGGGUUAGGGUUAGGGUUAGGGUUGGAGCUAGGGUUAGGGUUAGGGUUAGGGUUGGAGUUAGGGUUAGUGUUGGAGCUAGGGUUAGGGUUGGGCUUGGAGCUAGGAUUUUUCUGAGUGCAAUGAACCAACUCCCGAGUCUCUUGGACGUUCCUAAAAAAAUUUGAUUUUUUCCCAUAGGAAUGCAUGGGUUAGGGUUAGGGUUAGGGUUGGAGCUAGGGUUAGGGUUAGGGUUAGGGUUGGAGUUAGGGUUAGUGUUGGAGCUAGGGUUAGGGUUGGGCUUGGAGCUAGGAUUUUUCUGAGUGCACUGAACCAACUCCCGAGUCUCUAGGACAUUCCUAAAAAAAUUUGAUUUUUUCCCAUAGGAAUGCAUGGGUUAGGGUUAUGGUUAGGGUUAGGGUUGGAGCUAGGGUUAGGGUUAGGGUUAGGGUUGGAGUUAGGGUUAGUGUUGGAGCUAGGGUUAGGGUUGGGCUUGGAGCUAGGAUUUUUCUGAGUGCAAUGAACCAACUCCCGAGUCUCUUGGACGUUCCUAAAAAAAUUUGAUUUUUUUCCAUAGGAAUGCAUGGGUUAGGGUUAGGGUUAGGGUUGGAGCUAGGGUUAGGGUUAGGGUUAGGGUUGGAGUUAGGGUUAGUGUUGGAGCUAGGGUUAGGGUUGGGCUUGGAGCUAGGAUUUUUCUGAGUGCACUGAACCAACUCCCGAGUCUCUAGGACAUUCCUAAAAAAAUUUGAUUUUUUCCCAUAGGAAUGCAUGGGUUAGGGUUAGGGUUAGGGUUGGAGCUAGGGUUAGGGUUAGGGUUAGGGUUGGAGUUAGGGUUAGUGUUGGAGCUAGGGUUAGGGUUGGGCUUGGAGCUAGGAUUUUUCUGAGUGCACUGAACCAACUCUCGAGUCUCUAGGACAUUCCUAAAAAAAUUUGAUUUUUUCCCAUAGGAAUGCAUGGGUUAGGGUUAGGGUUAGUGUUGGAGCUAGGGUUAGGGUUGGGCUUGGAGCUAGGAUUUUUCUGAGUGCAAUGAACCAACUCCCGAGUCUCUAGGACGUUCCUAAAAAAAUUUGAUUUUUUCCCAUAGGAAUGCAUGGGUUAGGGUUAGGGUUAGGGUUGGAGCUAGGGUUAGGGUUAGGGUUAGGGUUCGAGUUAAGGUUAGUGUUGGAGCUAGGGUUAGGGUUGGGCUUGGAGCUAGGAUUUUUCUGAGUGCAAUGAACCAACUCCCGAGUCUCUAGGACGUUCCUAAAAAAAUUUGAUUUUUUCCCAUAGGAAUGCAUGGGUUAGGGUUAUGGUUAGGGUUAGGGUUGGAGCUAGGGUUAGGGUUAGGGUUAGGGUUGGAGUAAGGGUUAGUGUUGGAGCUAGGGUUAGGGUUGGGCUUGGAGCUAGGAUUUUUCUGAGUGCAAUGAACCAACUCCCGAGUCUCUAGGACGUUCCUAAAAAAAUUUGAUUUUUUCCCAUAGGAAUGCAUGGAUUAGGGUUAGGGUUAGGGUUGGAGCUAGGGUUAGGGUUAGGGUUAGGGUUGGAGUUAGGGUUAGUGUUGGAGCUAGGGUUAGGGUUGGGCUUGGAGCUAGGAUUUUUCUGAGUGCAAUGAACCAACUCCCGAGUCUCUAGGACGUUCCUAAAAAAAUUUGAUUUUUUCCCAUAGGAAUGCAUGGGUUAGGGUUAGGGUUAGGGUUGGAGCUAGGGUUAGGGUUAGGGUUAGGGUUGGAGUUAGGGUUAGUGUUGGAGCUAGGGUUAGGGUUGGGCUUGGAGCUAGGAUUUUUCUGAGUGCACUGAACCAACUCCCGAGUCUCUAGGACAUUCCUAAAAAAAUUUGAUUUUUUCCCAUAGGAAUGCAUGGGUUAGGGUUAGGGUUAGGGUUGGAGCUAGGGUUAGGGUUAGGGUUAGGGUUGGAGUUAGGGUUAGUGUUGGAGCUAGGGUUAGGGUUGGGCUUGGAGCUAGGAUUUUUCUGAGUGCACUGAACCAACUCCCGAGUCUCUAGGACAUUCCUAAAAAAAUUUGAUUUUUUCCCAUAGGAAUGCAUGGGUUAGGGUUAGGGUUAGGGUUGGAGCUAGGGUUAGGGUUAGGGUUAGGGUUGGAGUUAGGGUUAGUGUUGGAGCUAGGGUUAGGGUUGGGCUUGGAGCUAGGAUUUUUCUGAGUGCAAUGAACCAACCCCCGAGUCUCUAGGACGUCCCAAAAAAAAUUUGAUUUUUUCCCAUAGGAAUGCAUGGGUUAGGGUUAUGGUAAGGGUUAGGGUUGGAGCUAGGGUUAGGGUUAGGGUUAGGGUUGGAGUUAGGGUUAGUGUUGGAGCUAGGGUUAGGGUUGGGCUUGGAGCUAGGAUUUUUCUGAGUGCAAUGAACCAACUCCCGAGUCUCUAGGACAUUCCUAAAAAAAUUUGAUUUUUUCCCAUAGGAAUGCAUGGGUUAGGGUUAGGGUUAGGGUUGGAGCUAGGGUUAGGGUUAGGGUUAGGGUUGGAGUUAGGGUUAGUGUUGGAGCUAGGGUUAGGGUUGGGCUUGGAGCUAGGAUUUUUCUGAGUGCAAUGAACCAACUCCCGAGUCUCUUGGACGUUCCUAAAAAAAUUUGAUUUUUUCCCAUAGGAAUGCAUGGGUUAGGGUUAGGGUUAGGGUUGGAGCUAGGGUUAGGGUUAGGGUUAGGGUUGGAGUUAGGGUUAGUGUUGGAGCUAGGGUUAGGGUUGGGCUUGGAGCUAGGAUUUUUCUGAGUGCAAUGAACCAACUCCCGAGUCUCUAGGACGUUCCUAAAAAAAUUUGAUUUUUUCCCAUAGGAAUGCAUGGGUUAGGGUUAGGGUUAGGGUUGGAGCUAGGGUUAGGGUUAGGGUUAGGGUUGGAGUUAAGGUUAGUGUUGGAGCUAGGGUUAGGGUUGGGCUUGGAGCUAGGAUUUUUCUGAGUGCAAUGAACCAACUCCCGAGUCUCUAGGACGUUCCUAAAAAAAUUUGAUUUUUUCCCAUAGGAAUGCAUGGGUUAGGGUUAUGGUUAGGGUUAGGGUUGGAGCUAGGGUUAGGGUUAGGGUUAGGGUUGGAGUUAGGGUUAGUGUUGGAGCUAGGGUUAGGGUUGGGCUUGGAGCUAGGAUUUUUCUGAGUGCAAUGAACCAACCCCCGAGUCUCUAGGACGUUCCUAAAAAAAUUUGAUUUUUUCCCAUAGGAAUGCAUGGGUUAGGGUUAUGGUUAGGGUUAGGGUUGGAGCUAGGGUUAGGGUUAGGGUUAGGGUUGGAGUUAGGGUUAGUGUUGGAGCUAGGGUUAGGGUUGGGCUUGGAGCUAGGAUUUUUCUGAGUGCAAUGAACCAACUCCCGAGUCUCUAGGACGUUCCUAAAAAAAUUUGAUUUUUUCCCAUAGGAAUGCAUGGGUUAGGGUUAGGGUUAGGGUUGGAGCUAGGGUUAGGGUUAGGGUUAGGGUUGGAGUUAGGGUUAGUGUUGGAGCUAGGGUUAGGGUUGGGCUUGGAGCUAGGAUUUUUCUGAGUGCACUGAACCAACUCCCGAGUCUCUAGGACAUUCCUAAAAAAAUUUGAUUUUUUCCCAUAGGAAUGCAUGGGUUAGGGUUAGGGUUAGGGUUGGAGCUAGGGUUAGGGUUAGGGUUAGGGUUGGAGUUAGGGUUAGUGUUGGAGCUAGGGUUAGGGUUGGGCUUGGAGCUAGGAUUUUUCUGAGUGCACUGAACCAACUCCCGAGUCUCUAGGACAUUCCUAAUAAAAUUUGAUUUUUUCCAAUAGGAAUGCAUGGGUUAGGGUUAGGGUUAGGGUUGGAGCUAGGGUUAGGGUUAGGGUUAGGGUUGGAGUUAGGGUUAGUGUUGGAGCUAGGGUUAGGGUUGGGCUUGGAGCUAGGAUUUUUCUGAGUGCACUGAACCAACUCCCGAGUCUCUAGGACAUUCCUAAAAAAAUUUGAUUUUUUCCCAUAGGAAUGCAUGGGUUAGGGUUAUGGUUAGGGUUAGGGUUGGAGCUAGGGUUAGGGUUAGGGUUAGGGUUGGAGUUAGGGUUAGUGUUGGAGCUAGGGUUAGGGUUGGGCUUGGAGCUAAGGAUUUUUCUGAGUGCAAUGAACCAACUCCCGAGUCUCUUGGACGUUCCUAAAAAAAUUUGAUUUUUUUCCAUAGGAAUGCAUGGGUUAGGGUUAGGGUUAGGGUUGGAGCUAGGGUUAGGGUUAGGGUUAGGGUUGGAGUUAGGGUUAGUGUUGGAGCUAGGGUUAGGGUUGGGCUUGGAGCUAGGAUUUUUCUGAGUGCACUGAACCAACUCCCGAGUCUCUAGGACAUUCCUAAAAAAAUUUGAUUUUUUCCCAUAGGAAUGCAUGGGUUAGGGUUAGGGUUAGGGUUGGAGCUAGGGUUAGGGUUAGGGUUAGGGUUGGAGUUAGGGUUAGUGUUGGAGCUAGGGUUAGGGUUGGGCUUGGAGCUAGGAUUUUUCUGAGUGCACUGAACCAACUCUCGAGUCUCUAGGACAUUCCUAAAAAAAUUUGAUUUUUUCCCAUAGGAAUGCAUGGGUUAGGGUUAUGGUUAGGGUUAGGGUUGGAGCUAGGGUUAGGGUUAGGGUUAGGGUUGGAGUUAGGGUUAGUGUUGGAGCUAGGGUUAGGGUUGGGCUUGGAGCUAGGAUUUUUCUGAGUGCAAUGAACCAACUCCCGAGUC